GAUAAAAUUCCCAAAUUUAAUACCUCCAUACUCGACACAUUAAAAAGUCGGGCAAUUUAAUGGCUUCAGUCUAUGGUAAGUCCCUAAUAAUUUACUAUGAAUAUAAGAGGUCUUUUUAUGUAAAAUUGUUUUUGAGAUUAAUAUAACUCUUUAUUUGGUCCAUGAGAUUUAAAAUCGAUAGAACCGGUCCCGAGAUUACCGUCAAUCAUUUUGGUUAUUUUGUAAGAAAAUUCUGUUAAAUUGAGGUUUUUUUUUUUUUUGUCAAAUCAACUUCUCCCUUUGAACUAGUGGUUUAUUGAAUUUAACAAAUAUUACAUAAUGACCAAGAUGAUUGACGGUAGACAAUCCCACUUCUAUCAAUUUAAAUAUUAGGAACCAAAUUGAGAAGUUAUGAUAAUCUCAUAAACUAUUUUGGCUUAAAAGCCAGAUAUAAAACUAUAACCUAAACUAAAAAGAUAAAAAAAAAUAUCACAAAUCCACAAAUAGAGAACUAAUUAAGAAAAAAAUUUACAAUUUAAGCUAGAAGAGUAUAACAUCUACAUAUAGAGAAGAAAUUUUAAUUUAAAUCUACAAUAUAUAGAAAUGCAGUCUAGAAAAAUAAUAUAAAUGGGCAAAAAUAUAUAUAGAAUCACUUAAUAUGAAAUAAUUAAUUUGGACACUAGAGUAGAGAAUGUUACCCAAUGUUGCCCCGAUGGAGUAGUCCUGUUUUCAGCCACCCACCCAUCCAAAAGCCAUUCGUGGCCAGCAGAAAAUCUAUCAUAGUAGACAGAAAUUCUUCUCCUCCCUUUUGUUUUUCUUGCCCUUCUGCGAAGGGCAUAACAUGUAUCAAUAGUUUCUUGAUGUAAGAGAUGAUCGUGCCCAUUUAUAUUUCCAUUCACAAGCGAUGCAAUUGCCUCUUCUCCGUUAGGCAUAACAUAGCGUACUAAAUCCCGCGGUGGUGGUGGCGGCGACCUUGGGGGAGCCACUAGCCGCCCUGUGCGGUAGUCCCACACAACGGCGUUGGAAGCAUGGAUCUUCAGGGCUUGGUAAGGGGCCAUGAUCAAGGAUUCAUGUGUAUGAGAAUAGUGACUAGCAGAAACGAGUAAAUGUUAAGGGUUGGUUAUAUAUAUAUAUAUAUAUAGAAGAGAGAGAGAGAGAGAGAGAGAGAGGAAAGGAAGCUGGUAAGAUUAAGUUACUAGAGUUUGAUGAAGUUUUGGUUAAUUUAUUUUUACCGCCAAGUGUGAAUAUGUUACAUAUGGGAAGCAUGCAAGCAUGGUAAGAAAUCCAGGUGAAAAAUCCGAGCUGUGUAAUUGCAGACCUUCCAUUUGGUUGUCAUUGGACGCAUGAAAGCCAUGCAAUAAAUAAUAUAUUUGUCUUUUUGGUAAAGUCGCAAAAUAUUUAUGGAAGAAAAUAUAUAUGGAGCGCUUUUUAAAAAGAAAAAUAUAUAUGAAACGAAAUGUUCAAGUGGAUAUUUAAUGGAGCCAGCUUUUAUGAUUUUGUUCUUAUCUAACUAAUUAAAACAAAUCUAUGGGCUUCUUGCUUUAAAACAAAUCCAUAGACUCGGAGUGUAUUUAAUUGGAAUUUUAAAAUAUUUUAAUGAAUUUAUAAAUUGUGGAUUUUGAUAGAAUUUAAUUAAUUUUUAUCGAUUUAUGCAAAAUUUUGAUUGAAUUCUCUCAAAAUUUCAGGGAGUGAGGUGAGAUUUGAAAAUGCAAAAAAUAUACUAUGAAAUCUGUCGAAUUCUCUCAAAUUUCUAAAUUUGUUAAAAUCCUUUAAAAUUAGUUUCUAAUUGAAUACACCUAAAUGUUAUAAACGUUUUUGAAAUCCUGAUUGAAUACACCUAGGCUUUCAGAUAAUCACUUAAAAUUCUGAUUAAACCCCUAGAUUUGAACUAAAUUAGUGUAUCUGACAUAUUUUGUGGUUUAAUCCAAAUCCUUCAUUCUUUUAAUGAAAUAUAAUGUUAUAUACACAGUAUUUAUACAUAGUGCAUUAAAUUCAAACAUCUCAAUAGUGCAUUAAAUUGAAACAUCUCAACUUUUUUACUUAUUUUUAUAUUUGCUAACCCCCUUAAAUAAAAUGAAAAGGAGGGAAAAAAAAGAGAGAGACGGAAUUGAAUAUUUAAUGUAGCUGGAUUGUAUUUGUCGUUAUCCAAGUAAGAAAAACGUGAGUCGCUUGCAUUAGGCUUUCUCGUGUUCUUACAAGGAGGUUAAAACCGAACCAAUCAGGUUAUCCAUGCAAGUAACUGCCAUGAUUUUCAAUUUUAUACUAAGAUUUUAUUUUUAAAAAAAAUCGUAUUUUUAUUUUAAAAAAGAAUAAAAUCCUUAAUUUUUUUAGUAUGUAAUUAGGAGGCAAAAAUUACAUAUAUAUAGUCAUUGUUGUGCCAUAAAAUAACGGCUUAUUAAUCAAAGUGCCCUUUGAAACUGCCAUUGAGUCUUAGUUACUUUUUGAAAUUUGUUUUGUCUCACUUUGCCAUAUGAAACUGACAUUUUCAACUCGUUUGUCUCACUUACCCACUUCCGUUAAUGGACUAUUAAAUUUAAGGGUAUUUUAGACAUUUUAAUUUUUACAAAUUUAUUUGCCUCUAUACUACACACUAAACAAGUCCCAAUUUUAUUUUUGACAACUCUAAUUCAAACGCAUAAAUUUUGGGCAUUUUUUAAAAUAAAUUAUUUAAUCAAUAGAAAAAUUCCAAGCAACAAAAUCAUUGUAUCAACCAAAAUAAGAGUUUCAUUUGUUCGUAGAGCAUCACUUGCAAGACAUCCAUGUAUUGGCUCGAAAAUUUGCAAUUGAAAAAUAUUAAUUACAACAAAAUCAUUAUACCAUCAAGCUAUCAUAUCCAAAAUACUUCCCAAACCAAAAAAAUCAUUUAAAGCAAAUGUGCCUAGUUUGAAACAAAAAAAUUUCACAGUGUUAAGCACUGAUUCCCCUAGGCAUAAGCUUAUUCAAACUGUGCACAUUUGCUUUAAAUGAUUUUUUUGGUUUGGAAAGUAUUUUGCUUGGGUAGAAUAGCUUAAUGGUAUAAUGAUUUUAUUGUAAUGAAUAUUUUUUAAUUGUAAAGUUUCGAGCAAAUAUAUGGAUGUCUUACAAGUGAAAUGACUCUACGAACAAAUGUAACCCUUAUUUUGGUUGAUACAAAAUGAUUUUGUUGCUUGGAAAUUUUCUAUUGAUUCAAUAAUUUAUUUUUUUAAAAUGCCCAAAAUUUAUGUGUUGGAAUUAGAGUUGUCAAAAAUAAAAUUGAAACUUGUUUGGUAAAAAUUAAAAUUAAAAUGUAGGCUAGAAGUAAGUAAAUGUGUAAAAAUUAAAAUGUCUAAAAUACUCUUAAAUUUAACAAUCCAUUAACAUAAGUGGGUAAAGUGAGACAAAAGAGUUGAAAAUGUUAGUUUUAGGGGGCAAAGUGAGACAAAACUAGUUUCACGGGUAUUUCGACUAAUAAGCCUAAAAUAAAUACUAAGAAGUGCACAUUGGAACCCUUAAAUCUAAUCCCUUUUAGUACAAAAUAUGGUGUGAAUAAUUUAUGACACUACCAUAUCGUUUGUCUGGCGAAAGUUUGUAUUCGCAAGUAAAUUGAGGUGCACGCUCAAGAAGAUGAGUUAGCCAAGUUUCAUCUAACCUUUAUACACCCAGAUGAGUUCAUUCUAAGGUUUUUGGAUCAAUGACGAGUUAGAGAACUAAAAUGAGCGAAAUGACAAAAAUACUUUUGAGGCCAAUCGACGAUCAAAUGGUCAAUUUAAGUUUAGCACUUGUCGAAUAUGAAUUGCAUAACUUAAUAAUAGGACGAUUUUACGGAACAAUUUCCUCAUUUUUAUUUUAUGUUUAGUUACUUUACGGCCAAUUGACGAUCAAAUGGUCAAUUUAGUUAUUUUAUGUUUAGUUACUUUAAAAAAAAAAAGAUUUUCCUCAUUUUUAUUUUAUGUUUAGUUAUAUUCUGAUCAAAACAAUUUCGAAAUAUUCCCCUUUAUUUAUAGUUAUUAACUAAUAUUAUGUAUUUUAUUUUAAAUUUGAAUAUAUUUUGUUCAUUUUAUAAUAUAAAAUUUAUCGGAAUCAAAUAUACUUAUAUAUUAAAAAGGACAAGAAUAUAGUAUACCACAAAAUUAAUUAAAUUUAUACAUUAAUCAUAUCAACUAUUAAGAAAGAGCAAUAAAUUUUAUGUGCGGUAAAGUUCAAGAAUAUUAAAAAAAUUGUAAAAUAUAUGAACUUCCAAAGCAUGUUCCGAAAUUUCGAGAUUACUCUGAUUCCAAACUUCGAAAUUUUGAAUUUGAAAAUUAUGAUAUGAUCAAAUUCUUAAUUUUAGAAUGAAAAUUAAAAACGUUGUUUCCGAUCCGAUCUGAUCCCAAACUUUAGAAUGAAACUUGGAAUGUUAUUUUUGAUCAGAUCCUGAAAUUUUAGAAUGAAAAUUGGAAAUGCUGUGUCCGAAUUUCCGAAAAUCACCCCUAAUUUUCUUUAUAAUGCGGCUGCCAUUGUCUCAUUUCCUUUUAUGUUGUGCUAUGCUUUUGUUUUGAGCUUCUUUUUUGGGCUUUUUUCUGCCUUGUAUUAGUUGAAACUUAUUGUGCUUGACACAACAAAAAAAAAAAUGCAAAUUUUGGCAAAACUAAAUAAUUACCAACAACAAAAAAUGUAAUAACGCAUUUAUCCAAAAGACAACAAAAUAAGAAAAAAGAUUUUAUUUAUUCAACUUUUUUUCUCUUCAUUAAAAUCCGGUUCUGCCUUGUAUUAUAGUUGAAACUUAUUGUGCUUGACACAAAAAAAAAUGCAAAUUUUGGCAAAACUAAAUAAUUACCAACAACAAAAAAUGUAAUUACGCAUUAAUCCAAAAGACAACAAAAUAAGAAAAGAGAUUUUAUUUAUGCAGCUUUUUUUCUCUUCAUUAAAAUCCGGAUUAGGACAAAAAACCGAACCCUUCUGAACAGCGUCUUAACGUCGUUAACGAGACACAAAGCGGGAAUAAAUGAAAAGGCAGGGACAAUAUCGGAAUCAAAAAAUUAGGAGCUGGGGUAUCGAAAGGCAAGCAGGACACGCGGCCCCUUCGCAUUGGAUUUGGACGACGUACAAUGCCAUCAUGCCCUUGCGUCCGUACGGCUGCCGCGUCACGAAGAGAGCGCGCACAAAACAGACAAAACAAACGUUGCAGGAAGCAGCAGCCUUUUGUGAGACCACUCUCUCCGUUUGCUGGGAUUCCCAUUCGCAUAUAAAUACAGUGUAGGAUAUAUAGAUAUACUCUUAUUUCCAAGGACCCUAAAAGCCAUAGCUUGCAAGCAGAAAACCCUAAUCGCUCUGCGAUUUUGCAUUCUGGGUUUUGUUUUGCUUUGCUGGGUUUUGAGUUUCUCUCUCUUCUGGUGGGUCUCUCUCUCCAUCUUCUUCGUACUGUUUGUUCUGGUUUAGGCCGCUGAUAGGCCUCAAUGUGCUUGCUAUGUGAAAACCCACUUGCUAUGGAGCUCUGAAAUGCUCGUUCUAGCAGUGGGUCUUCUUCUUUCUUUGAUUUUUCUUAGUCUCUGUAAACUUAUGGAUUUUUGUGGGUUUCAGAGAACGAUUGGCAUUUUGAUUUUUUUAAGAUUUUGGUUAUGGUAUUAUUGACUCCCACUGAAAAGCUCUGAUAUGCUCACUACGCUAAAAAGCGAUUUUCAGAGCUAUCGUGCUUAUAUCAGCAGUGGAUCGUCUUCCUUCUUUGAUUUUUGUUGUCUGUGUUUGUAGAUUUCUGGGUUUUUUGUGUUUAUGAAAACGAUUGGGAUGUCGAGUUUUUGGUUUUAGUAUUUUUUCACUCCCACGGGGAGCUCUGAUAUGCUCACUGCGUUAAAAAGACAAUUUUCAGAGCUCUCAUGCUUAUUUCAGCAGUGAUCGCGUUUUUUUUGGUUUGAUUUGUGCGUUUAGAUUCUGGGUUUCUUUGGUUUCUGAGAAAGAUUUGGAUUUUGGGUUCUUAGUUUUUUGUUUUGGUAUGUUUUUACUCCAGCUGAAAAGCUCAGAUACGCUCACUAAGCCAGAUUUUCAGAGCUCUCAUGCUUCCUUCAACAGUGGGUAUUUUUGCUUUUAUUUUAUUUUUUAAAUUUAUUUAUUUAUUUUAAAUUUUUAGCCUUACUGCUACAGAAACCAUAUGAGACAUCGGACGACUGGGAAUUGCUUUUGGAAUUUGAAACUUUUGGUGAUGUUAUUGCAUGCUUUUGGGCUUUCGUUUUUGUUUUCACUCUGGCUUCACGUUUAUGCCAAAUACGUGAAAGCUAAACGUUGUUUCAGAGCUGGGUCGUCUCUGAUUUCUCUGAAUCUGCGCUUACGGGUUGUUUUUGUUGCUUCUGACGACUGAGAUUUGCAUUUGGGGCUUCACAAGUUUGGGUUUUUCUGAUUCCUUUUCAUUAUUUUAAACCUUUUGUCUCUUUGCUUCCUACGUGAAAGCAAAUAAUAAUAUUUUUAUUAUUUUAGGGCUUGACCUUUUUUUUACAAAUUGAGUUUGAUUUUUGUAAUUUUAUAUUUUUUGGGUGCUACUAUUAAUUCUGUACUCUCAAAGGUCUCUCUUUAAAUGCCAUUUUAGAGGCUUGCCUUUUGGUUUAUGGAGCUUAGAUCUGAGUAAUAAAGCACAUAAUAUGUGUAUAUAUAUACACAUCCAUAUAUAUAUAUAUGUGUAUAUUUUCUUGGGUUUUGGCAUAUUCUUUUGUGUAUGUAAAAAGAUCAGAAAAUUUUCUGAGCAAGAAAAUGGUUUUUUUUUUCCUUGUGAAAAUGUGUGUGGAUGUUUUUUUGCUGUUUUACUGCAACGUUUUGUACGAAUGUUUGAUUGUUCUGCUGCCAUUUUCUUACUUCCAUUGGCUUAAUAUUGGGCUUUAAUUAGCUUUUUUUUUUUAAUGUUUCCAUAACACCGUUAUUGUUCUUUUCUCUUCAUGAAUGCUGUGUUUUGAUUAUAUGUAACCAUUUAAUUAAGAAGCCUUGAGCUUACAGUUUUCAUGUUUGUAUAUAUAUUUUUAAUUUUACUGUCGAUACAUUACUCUAUUUGCGAAGUUCCGGUUCUUGGUUGUCCUUGAGAUUUAUGAAACUCUUGGUUGCCUUUAAGAUUUAUGAAAUUCUUUCAGUACAGAUUUGAUACUGUGGUAGGCCAAUAUGGUACAAGUUUUUAUAACGUUUUCCCUCACGAAAAUUCCUUUUGCUUGAAUGACACACAAUAAUUGGUUUUUCGAAUGUUUGAGAAUUCCUUCAUGUGAAGUCUUGCAGACUGAAAAUGAAGUAAAUGAGUGAGACAAGAAAACAUUACUCUAACGAACAUUUAUAUUUGAAGAAUCGCAUUUGAACACAUUCGGUAGAACGUUUUUCCGUUAAUUUAUCUGCUUUGUCCUAAACUGUUCCUAACGAAUAGUAUCUACACAAGAUUUGUUUUCGUAACGCUUUGUUUCCUCUCCUCCGAUGAUUUUCCUUUUAACGGAGCUCAUCAAGUUUAUAAAUGCGGAUUCAACCUGUUCAUUAAAUUUAGUGAAGUUAUCUAAUUAGAGAAAUAAACUCCUCCUGUUUUCCCCUGCAUCUAAGAAAUAUUGACAGUGCGCACAUCAUCUUACUUGUCUGCCAUGAUUGCCACAAUACAUGGGUUCGGAUCCUCUUGCAAUUCUCUGUGUCGACGUCCUUUGAUCGAAUUGGCUUGUGGUUGAGCAGGUCUUAGGACAUGGAGCGCUUGAAUCCCGAUAGACUCGAACUUCCUCCACCACCACCCAUUAUUCCUCCAAAUGUUGUCCCGACUGUGGCAGAGGAAAAGUCUCUUGAACUAUAUAAGAAAGCAUCAACUCCAAAACGUGUUCCCAUGGCAAGGAGUGGGAAUGGAACUAAAGGGCAGAAGAUCCCUCUUCUGACCAACCAUUUCAAAGUGGCAGUGAACAAGUCUGAUGAGUACUUUUUCCAUUACAGUGUAAUUACCUAUACUCGUUGUCUCUUGCUUUAUACUUUGAAGAUAAGUUUAUGUUUGUAUAAUUGUGUUGGUGUUAAAUACUUAAAUGGUGGUACAGAUUGCGAUGUCUUAUGAAGAUGGUACCCCCGUCGAUGGGAAAGGCAUUGGACGAAAGGUCAUUGAUAAAGUGAAACAGACAUACGCAAUGGAGCUUGCCGAUAAAGAAUUUGCUUAUGACGGAGAGAAAAGCUUGUUUACCGUUGGCCCUCUUCCUCACAACAGACUUGAGUUCACAGUUGUACUGGAUGACAUCUCAUCGACCAGGUACUGACAUGUCGUUUAUUAUGUAUUUUUCCGGCGCUUGUUUCCGAUCAGGAAAUUGUCUCAUUGGUCCUUUUGCACAAAUGUCUAGGAGGACUGCAAGCCCAGGAGGUGGCUCCAACCGUGCUGACAGUGAGGGAGAUCGGAAGAGAGUUAAGAAGCAAUUUCAAUCCAAACAAUUAAAUGUGCUGAUCAACUAUGCUACUAAAAUCCCAAUGCAAGCAAUCGUGAAUGCAAUACGUGGCCAGGAUUCAGAACAUUUUCAGGAAGCGGUGAGGGUUCUUGAUAUCGUACUGAGGCAGAAUGCAGCGAAACAGUAAGUACUUGACUGUUGUUGUAUCUUUUCCUCAGUGAUUGUCUACUAUUUCAUUUGGUGUAUAAUAAUGUGUUUUUCUACAGGGGUUGUCUUCUUGUCCGACAGUCUUUCUUCCACAACAAUCCAAGGAACUUCGCGGACUUGGGAUCAGGUGUGUUAGGCUGCAGGGGUUUUCAUUCAAGUUUCCGAGCCACCCAAGGGGGUCUAUCUCUUAAUAUGGGUAAGCUUCUAAGCGAGAAUGCUUGGAUUGUUUUUGUUACUCUACUGUCAAUCUAAUCUCUGUCCUUGACACCUUGUUUCCAUGCAGACGUAUCCACUACAAUGAUUGUAAAACCUGGCCCCGUUCUAGACUUUCUGAUGCUAAACCAGAACGUUAAAACUCCUUACCAGAUCGAUUGGACGAAGGUAAUAUUGGUUGCUUACUUUUUUUAUAUUGCACUGGUGUGGCAUUGUUCAUGGUCUGAGCUUUCUUUAAUCUCAUACUAGGCUAAGAGAAUGCUGAAAAAUCUGAGGAUCACAACCUAUUCAUCUAAGAUGGAGUACAAAAUCACUGGACUGAGUGAUAGACCAUGCAAAGAGCAGAGGUGAUCUUUUUUUUUUAUUCUUAUAUCCAUGCCAUAUGAGAAGUAGGCUUUAUAGAUCAUCUCAAUUUCUGGUUUCGUGUUUAAUCUAAUAAUUUACUUCUACACAUUUUUGUCUAGGUUCUUCCUGAAAUCGAAAAAAGGACAGGAUGGUGAUGGAGAAGAAAUUACGGUUUCUAAAUAUUUUGCUGUCUAUAAAAACCUACCAUUGCGGGAUUCAGCAGACUUCCCAUGCAUCAAUGUUGGGAAACCAAAGAAGCCAUCUUACUUUCCACUUGAGGUGAUACUUUUAACUUUCGACUAUUUAUUGUUAAGCUUAAUACCAUAAUUGUUUUAUCAUUCUUAUUUGCCUCUGUAGCUUUGCAACUUGGUUUCACUGCAACGCUAUACAAAAUCUUUAACCAAUUUGCAAAGGGCUUCACUAGUGGAGAAGUCUCGGCAGAAGCCCCAGGAGAGGAUGUCAGUUUUGCGUGAUGUAAGUAAAGUUAUGUGUGCCAUCUAUAUGGUACUGUUCUAUCUUCGUAUCUAAAACUCACUGACUCCUCAAAUUUUAAUUCUCUCAGGCACUGAGGACUAGUAAUUAUGAUGCUGACCUGAUGCUUCGUUCUUCUGGAGUGUCCAUUGGUGUUGACUUUGUGCAUGUUGAAGGCCGUGUAUUGCCAGCUCCAAAGGUAGACAUCUUUUAUUAUCAUUUUUGUUUCCUUCAAAACUGAUCUGACUUGUCUUUUGGAUGCUGUAGAAGUUCUUAUGUUCUGAUUUUCUCUGUUUAUUGAUACUUCCCUGCAGCUAAAAGUUGGGAACGGAGAGGACUUUUUUCCGCGCAACGGGAGGUGGAAUUUUAACAACAAGGUACCACUCCUUCUAUGUAUUUUCUGUUUCACCAGAAUCAAGAUUUAUUUUUCACCUCAAUUCACCUUUAUUUUUUGUGCGCAGAAACUGGUACAACCUGUGACUAUAGAUCGUUGGGCUAUUGUCAAUUUCUCUGCUCGCUGUGACACUCGGAACCUGGUCAGCAAUAUGAUGAAGUGCGGAAAUAUGAAAGGAAUUGUAAGAAUCUCUCUCUGAACUAUAUUAUAAAAGAACUAUUCCUUUACUGUAAAUCAAUUCCUUUGGUUAUUUGUUAUUCUAAAAAGAACUAUUCUUUAAUAUAGGCCAUAAAGGAACCGUUUAUGGUAUUUGAUGAGAGUAACCAGCACAGACGUGAACCAGCUCCCGUUAGAGUGGAUAAGAUGUUUGAAUACAUAAAGUCAAAACUUCCAGGACCACCUCAACUUCUGUUGUGUAUUCUUCCUGAGAGGAAGAAUUCUGACAUAUAUGGUUAGCUCAUUAUUCUUUUCUUAUAUCAUUUUAUCUGCACCUUUAUGUUGAGUAUUCAUGUAUUGAUUAUUCUUCAAAUUCAAGGUCCAUGGAAAAGGAAGAAUCUUUCUGAGCUUGGGAUUGUAACACAGUGCAUUGCUCCUACAAAGGUGAAUGAUCAGUACAUUACAAAUGUGCUACUGAAAAUCAAUGCAAAGGUAAAUUUCCGUUUACAAAUCUAAUUUGUGGAAUUGUCUUGUGGUUUAUGACUCAUGCAUUAAUUUUGUCUUCCUUGCUUUAUAUGAGCUUGUGCAGAUGGGUGGAAUGAAUUCGUUGCUAAGUGUGGAGCAUUCUCCUUCUAUUCCAUUGGUUUCCAAGCGCCCCACUCUGAUUCUCGGUAUGGAUGUGUCACACGGCUCACCUGGGCGGUCAGACGUGCCUUCUAUUGCAGCGGUAAUAUUUUCCCUUGACACUGAACUUGUUAUAAUUAUGUUCUCUGCCAUAAUUGUUACUAUGCUUUUUGGACUAGUUAGAGAACUUCACUCUAUACCGUCAACCUGGUAGUUGCUGCUGUGUCAUGUUGUAAGUGUCUAUUUAAUAUGUAGCUCUCUGCUUAUCUUGGGAAUUUUGUAGGUGGUGAGUUCCAGGCACUGGCCCUUGAUUUCUCGUUACCGAGCUGCUGUGCGUACUCAAUCACCAAAAGUGGAAAUGAUAGCUUCUCUGUUCAAGCCUGUGUCAGAUAAAGAGGAUGAUGGCAUAAUCAGGUUGGCUCCCCUGGGGCUUUCACCACUACAUUCAAACUGCCACUUUGAUAUUUUUGCAUCCAGUUUUUCUUAUCUGAUUAUUGUUAAAAUUUUACAAUAUAUGUUUCAAUCAAUCUUGUAACGUUUGUGUUCUUUUCAGGGAACUGUUGGUAGACUUUUAUGCUACUUCAGGAAGCAGGAAGCCGGAUCAGAUAAUUAUUUUCAGGUGUGGUAUUCCUAAUAUAUUCAAGGAGUAAUAAAUGAGCCACAAAUGAACAACUGCAUUUCUAGUUUGUGCCUUCUCUAGAAUGAUCUGCUCUCUUUGUUAUUAAUCUCAUAUCGUUACCAUUUGAUACCCCAAUGAAUAUGGCCUAAUUUACUAUAUAAUCAAAGGAUGAGGAACCUGUUAAUGUUAGUCACUAGAAAUGCUUUGUAAUACUAUGAAUAUCAGCUAGUGUUAUCCCUCUUAUCACUCUUUCAACCCUUUCAUUCAUUAAUCCUCUAACGUGUAUUUUAUCUCUUAUUGUUUGCAUUCAAUUGGAACUUACCAUUUAAAUGCAUGUUCGGAUUAACUCUAGUUUCUGUAUGUGUACAUGUAGCGUACAUUAUUUUCUGUACCAAUUUGCCAACAUCUUUUUGAUGCUUUGUUUUGUAGUUUCAAAACAGGCUUCUCAACGUGAUACGUUUUUCAACAAAUCAAUGAACUUUCAAUUUCAUAUUAACUAAAAGACUAGUGGUUUAAACAGUUAAAAUGUUGUAUCACUUAUAGUGGUUUUGAAAAGAUUGCACAUUAACACUCAACUCUUGCUAAUCUUCCUGUCACUUGGUUUUUCUCCUAUUUAGGGAUGGAGUGAGUGAAUCACAGUUCAACCAAGUCUUGAAUGUGGAACUGGAUCAGAUUAUUGAGGUUUUCACGAUGCGAAUCCACAUUUUUCUUAUUAGUUUUUACAUUCUUUACUUGCAAGAGGAAAUGUCUCAACUGUAAUUUGGUGUUUUUAAUCUUUUUGCAGGCCUGCAAAUUUCUUGAUGAGACUUGGUCUCCAAAGUUCAUGUUGAUUGUUGCACAAAAGAAUCAUCACACCAAGUUCUUCCAGACGCAUUCACCUGACAAUGUUCCACCGGGUUAGUCAUUUUACCAUCAAUUGGAUUUCAGAAUAGUAAAGAACAAAGAAAUGUUCUUUUGUUUCUAAAUCAAGUUUUUUCCUUGAUUACUUGAACUCAGGAACCAUCAUAGACAACAAAGUCUGUCACCCCAAGAACAAUGAUUUCUACUUGUGCUCUCAUGCUGGGAUGAUUGUGAGUAUCCUAAACCAAAACCUGCCACUUAUUAUAUAACAAAUUUACUCCAUGUUUCUUGGGCAAGCUUAAUACGGAAAGGAAUAAACAAAACUUGAGUCCUGAGUCCCUUUCUGCUAAUUUGUUUUAGACAGUAUUGUUAUCUGAUUCAGCUACUCUGAAUGGAGAUUAAACUGACUUUGGAUUGUUCAUGUAGGGGACUACUCGGCCUACCCAUUAUCAUGUUCUGUAUGAUGAACUUGGGUUUUCAACGGAUGACUUGCAAGAAUUGGUUCAUUCUCUGUCUUAUGUGUAAGUAUUCUCUCAAGUCACAUCUUUUUAGAGUUUGCACAAUGAAUUCCAUCCCAGGAAACAAUAGCUUUUUGUAUAUUUAUCUGUCAAGUAGUUAGCGCGAGUUUUAAACCUGACUCCUUACUUUGAGUUUUGUACAGGUACCAAAGAAGCACGACAGCCAUAUCCGUAGGUAAUAUAAUCUGUCCUGUUUUGUUUUCUGCUCCAAUGUCCAAUUGACUUCAUUCUUGCGAGCGUGACUACACUGAUUAAUGUUCCGAUAAGCCUGUAUGAGUUCUUUGUUGCUGCACUAGUAAUGAUUUUAGUCACUUCACAUUCACACCUUGUUCUGCAAAGGAAAUCACAGAACAUGCUGUCUUUUGUACAUGUAGUUGUUUGAACAGUUAAAUGGUAGUAAUGACUAGAAAAUUAAGUAAAGGUUAUGAACCGGUCUUUAGAAGCUGCUCUUUAUUUUCUCCUUUGCUCUGUUUUCCGCACGGUGUUUUAUGAGAUCCUUGAUAAGUUUUUUCCGGUUUCUCUAUACCGCAGUUGCUCCAAUCUGCUACGCCCAUCUAGCUGCUGCCCAGAUUUCCCAGUUCAUCAAGUUUGAUGAAAUGUCGGAGACUGCCUCAAGCCAUGGUGGUGGAAUCACAGUUCCAGGUGCUGUUCCGGUGCCCGAGUUACCCAAGCUGCAUAAAAAUGUGAUCAACUCCAUGUUCUUCUGUUAAAGAUUGGUUGCAGACUUCAGUUUCUUAUCCCCCACGGCUCGAUGCCGUUAGAAUAGCAUAUGAACUUUGACUAGUGGUUUUGACAGCAACUAUUUAAGCUUUGGGGAUUUUUGGCAGGAACUUUCACUAAUAUAUCACGCUGCUGAUAUAACACACACACACACACACAUAUAUAUAUAUAUAUAUAUAUAUAUAUAUAUUAUGUCUGGUCUGGUGUUUGACAUUCACCAGUAUUUUGAGAAUAUCUGGUGCUGGAACACUUCAGAAAUUAUGUAUGGAUGAUGUCUGUUUCGGAGAAUUAAUCUUGGAGUUUAUUAUCUUACUUGUUACAUAUACUCCUAUAUAUGCUAAAUCAUAAAUUGGCCUUCUCGUGAGAAUGACUUGUAUGAAACCGAUUCACCGUCACUCAUCUUCCCGUUUUAACAAAAUAAUGACGUGUAAGUUUUUCAACACAUGCCAUUAUAAUUAUCGGAUCAGGACACUAAGUGGCAGUGAAACCUUUCAAUGUAAAUUGUUCUCUCUAACGGUGAAACCGUUUUAAAACUUGACUUUUAUCUUUUGACAUCUAAUUGGAGAUGCUCUAAUCAUAGUCGUCGGAUUCGAUCAAAUAGGGUUCAAAUUAUGUAUUGGUAUAGACAUAUCGUUACUUUGACAAUUGGUUUUAAUUUGGUGGAUCUGUAAUCAGAUUAGGAAGAUUAAAGAAAAGAAUAGAAAAAUGCACAUGUCGUCCUUGUGAAAUUCGCCGUUGUUUUUCAAUUCGCAGUUGUUGGAGAAGGAGAAGAAAGGAGAGAGAGAAAAGGGAGACAGUAAGUUUCUUCUUUGUGAAUGUCGGGAAGGAGAAAAAGGAGAGAGAGAUGAGGGAAUCACAAACUCACAAGUGAUCCAUGCAAGGUUUCUUAUUUUUUUAAAUGUGGAUUUUUAUCACAAGUGAUCCAUGAGGUCGACCCAUAGCCUCAAGACCGUCCUUGCUAAUGAAAAUUGGUCAUUGUUGUCUUUGAAUAUGAGUGUCCGCAAGUCAAUGUGAUCAUUCAUUUAUAAUUCCAUCAAAUUUUCUGUUAGUGUGUGCUGAUGUGGCAUAUAUGUAGAGCCAUAAGUCUAAUAAAUUUGUUAGAAGAAGCACAUCAACACACGCAUAUUAAUUUAGUAAAACUAAUAAAAAGGGCUUGAAAACUUUGAGUUUUAAUGAUAAAGACAAAAUAAAGGGUAAAAUGAAUAGUACCAAGUUUGACUCUUUAGUGUAAAAAUGUAGUUUUUCGUUAAAGUGAACAGUACUGCGUGCUUUUCGUUAAAAUUCCCUAUUAAUUUUUGCUUUGAGGGAUCAUCUUGAUGUUAUGAAUUAAUUUCAUGGACCACUUGUGAUAAUUUUUUUUUUUUGAAUUUUGAAACUGUUAGAUUGAAAGUUUCGAGACUUUGAGCUAGGAAUUUAUGGGUGCGUUUGUUGCAUCGGACUAUUUCAGACUGAACUAGCUUUAAGAACUAAGUUGGACUGACUUGACUUGGACUAAGCAGUAUAAAAACAGUGAAGUGUUGGUGUAGUACCAGACUAAAUCACAGACUAAGUUAUUAUUGGAAUUCAAAUAUUUUUUUGUCAAAUUUUAAUUUAUCUUGUUGAUAUUUUAUUAUUAUUUUUCUAUGCUUUUUUAUUUCGCUCACUCUCUCUCCCGUCUCUCUACCUUUCUUUUCUUUUCAUCCCCGACUUCUUCGCACCGCCCAUAACUUUUCUUCUUCUUUUCAUUUCAUUUCCUAUCAACAAUUUAGGAAAUUGUGAAUAUGUACUUCAACCCAUAAUCCAAAUAUUGUACCCAAUUUCUCCAAUAUCAAUUACAAUAAAGAAUUCAAAUCAAACCCAGAAAAAAUUCCAAAUUGUUUUUUUUUUUCAAUUUGCAGAGACUUCGUCGCAUUGUGCAGUUGAUUCAUCAGAAUUUUCAGAUGCUUCGUCAGAUUGCCGGUUGUACAGAGGUUUCGUCUCGCCUUCGCUGAAAUUGUGCACAAGACUCUGUUAUUGGGAUUGUUGUUAUUGUUUUGAGAUUUAGGUGUUGCAUCUGGGUUUCUGCAUCUGGGUAACGUUGUUUAAAACUAAAGCUCUGAAACAGAGAGAGAGAAUUCAAAAACAUACCCUAUGCUAUUUAUGUAGAAUCCCAAAAAGCGAAGCAGGCGACGGAGAUGACACAGUUGAUGAGACCGUUGUUGGAGAUGAAGCAGUGGAAGAGGUCAAGGAGGAUGGAGCACAAAGUCAUUGCCGUCGAAAAUUGAGGUCUAAGAGGAAGGAGCCCAAUUGGAGGGCGAGACUGAUGAGCUUGGUCUGAGCGGAGUGAAUCGGACGACGGAGCUCGUGAGUUCUCCGAUUGAAGUUCGAAUCGAGGUCUUUAUUCAUGAUUCAGGGUUGGGGACGAGGAGAGGGAAAGAAUGCGAGCAGAGAGUGAUUGAAGGAGUCUUAUGGUUCGCGACGACUAUCGCUAAAACCGUCUAGCACGGUCCUAGUCGAGGCAAGUCUGGCUUACUCCCACUAAAGCUAGUUCCAUGAAGUAACAAACAUUGGACUUGACUAACUAUUAGUUUAGAGGGUUCUCAAAUUAUGUCCGUUUAUCAUACAUCAUACAGCAAGAUAUCAUUUUAAAUACUUUUAUUUAAAAUUAAAUAUAAAUAAUACUUGACAAAAAUUGACCGCACAAUGUACGAUGAAUGAACAAGAUUUGAGAAUCUUUUGGAUUCUCACAAAAAUGAUCCGGAGAGAAUCCUUAUUCUUAAAAGUUGGGUCGUGAUCACAUCACAGUUGAUGAUGAAUGGUUUUCAGUUAAUAUGUUUAUAAAUUUCUUUUAAUUUGGUAAUAAGCGCAUGUUAAAAUAUAAGGAAAACUAAUGAAAAGGGCUUGAAAACUUUGAGUUUUAAUGAUAAGGACAAAAUAAAGGGUAAAGUGAAUAGUACCAUGAUUGACUUUUUAGUGUAAAAAUGUGGUUUUUCGUUAAAGUGAACAGUACCGGGUGCCUUUCGUUAAAGUUUCCUAAAAUAUAACCAAAUCAAACCAAACACAACAGUUGGUCAACCGAUCUAAUCAGUUCUAAACCAUUGUCGUUCGAUGGUGUGCUUAAACUGAACUAACCCAAAUUUUACCCGCCUUUAAAAUAAGGGAGUUUUAAUAAAACACUCUCGGUACUGUUCACUUUUAACAAAAAACCUCAAUUUUACUUUUAACUAGCAAUAUUCACUAUACCUUUAAAAAUGGCUUUUCGUUAAAAGAGAAGUUUUUUUGGACUUUUGGUUAGUUUUCCUUUAAAAUAAAUCAUGCAUCUACAUUUUCUUUUUUUUUUAAGAAAUCAUGCAUUUACAUGAUCCUAAAUGAUUUCACCACUCUGUAUGUCCAACGUCAUGUGAAAAGUUGAGAUAAUGGUUGCAUAAUUUAAUGACUGAUUUUUUGCCCAUCCACUCUUCUUAUUUUUUACGAACUCAACUAAUGUAAAAGCAAGUUUGGUAUUGCGGUGUUUUUUGUUUUUUUGAACAAAUGAUAGUAUCUAUACUAAAAAAUAGAAGAGUGAGCUAAAUCUCACAAUGGUAUUAUUGUGCUUUUAAAAAAAAUUAUUUCUGACGUGCUGUAAAAAUAAACAGUUGUAAAAUGAAGUCGUUGAGUGUUCGGUAAACUUAUUUUUGUAUAAGUGCUUUUAACAAAAAGAAUAGUGUCUGAGUGUCUGGUAAAUUUUUAUAUUAAAAUAUUGUGGAUAUGUUAAAUAACUAGAAAGCAUAUGAUAUUGGAUAUGAUAUAAUAAUUACCAAAGAAAAUAAUACAGGGACAAAAUUGUAAAUUGCAAAAUAUGCAGGGUAUACUUGUCAUCUCAAAAUUUCAUUACUGGAACUGUUCACUAUUCUUUGAAAAAAAAAACACUUUUUUUUUAUGUUUUAUCAAACACAUUUAGUGUUCCAAUUUUUUUAAUAAAUUAUUGGGUAAAUUACAAAAAACUACCUCAACUAUUGAGUCGUUAACAGUUUCAUACCUCAUCUUUAAAAAAUUUCAAUGUCAUACAUUUUCUUACAAAUUUGUUGCAAUGUUCUACCUCCGUUACGUUGUCUGUCAAUUCCUCUGUUAUAUGUUGACGUGGCUUAUGUUGGUCCCACCCUCUCCACAUAUGAACUUCCACGUUGAUUUCUGAUACACGUGGAUCUAAAAGGAUGACACGUGUAUAUUACAAUUUAAAAAAAUAAUAAUAAUAAAAAUAAAAAAAUCCCUCGUGAAUCGUGCAAUUCAAAUUGAAGCCUAAAGCCCCAACCAUGCAAUUAAUUCAAUUCCAUUUCAAUUUCAUUCCAGAUCCCAAAUCAAAGAACCUUAACCCUCAUUUCAUAUCACUUGUCCCAAAUCGCGAUCAAUAGUUCAUUCAGCGAAAACCCUAAUUUCGUCUUGUCAUCGCCUACCUUCCCUUUGUUUGUUUUUGUUGAAAACCCUUAGUUCUUCUGGUUUUCAAAGGAUUUGACAAUAUUUCGAAUGAUUCAAAAUGGGGUGGAAUCUGCACGAGGAUCCCGAGCAAAUGACGGCUACCUACUGUAAGUACUAAUUUCAGUUCGUUUUGUGCUUUGUUGGUUCCUUAUUUUUUAUUUUUUAUAUUAUUGUUAUUCUAGGUUUGUUGAUUCCAAAAUCUUUGUUGGCGAUUUGUGGGUUUUGUUGAUUGUUUAUUCGAAAUGCUUACUGGUAUGUUGUAGAAUGGGGGUCAUGUGGGUGCUUUAUUUAUUGUUGUUAAGAAAAAAUUAGUUUGGGUGUUGGUGGUCCAGGGGGUCUGGUGGGUGCUUUGUGUAUUAUUGCCAGGAAAAAGGUAGUUUGGGUGCUGGUGGUCCUGGCGGUCAUUUGGAUAAUUGUUUAACAAAAGUUCAAAUUUGAGUUCUUUUGUUUUGUUUGUUGGUGAAGAAGAUGUAGUGUUUUCUUUGUUUGUUGGAUAAUGGAGGGUCAUUUUGGUGCUUUUUUUGUUGGUGAAGAAGAUGUAGUGUUUUCUUUGUUUAUUCAAAAUGUUUACUGAUUUGUUGGAUAAUGGGGUCCUUUUAGGUCCUAUUGUGCUUUUUUCUGUGAUGCGCUUUUUCCAUUGCUUUGUUGUUGGCUGUUGAAUAUGUUGAAUUGCAAUUGUUUACAUUUGGGGUGGGUUAUGGUCCUACGAUUUGCUGGUUGCACUAACUAGGGUCCUUUUGGGUCCUCUUGUGCUUUUUUCUAUGAUGUGUCUUUUCCUUUGAUUUGUUGUUAGCUGUUGAAUAUGUUGAAUUUCAACUGUUUACAUUUGGGGUGGGUUGUGGUCCUAUGGUUUGUUGGCUGCACUAACUAGGAUCUUUUUUGUGCUUUGUUUGUUGGUGAAGAAGAUGUAGUGUUUUCUUUGUUUAUUCAAAAUGCUUACUGAUUUGUUGGAUAAAGGGGUCCUUUUGGGUCUUGUGCUUUUUCCUUUGCUUUGUUGUUGGAUGUUGAAUAUGUUGAAUUGCAAUUGUUUACAUUUGGGAUGGGUUGUGGUCCAACGGUUUGUUGGCUGCAUUAACUAGGGUUUUAACUCUUUUUUAUUUUUUGUGAAUUUUAGGUUAUCUAGAACUAUUUUCCAUUCGUUUGCAUCAUGGUGGAGAGCCCGGUCAUGAAUACUACUAUGGGGGGAAAGUUGCCUAUAUAGAUUAUUGCAACAAUGACUUAAUGUCACUCCAUGUGAUAGAUGAUAUGGUGGAAGCUGUAGGAUAUAGUGAGAUGUUUAUGAACUACUACUACUACAAGAUUCCCAAUAUAGACAUUAGUAAUGGUUUGAAGCCCCAUUUAGAGUGAUGUCAAUGUACAGAAGAUGUGCAACUUUGUUCCAAAGGCUUGAUUGUUAGACAUGUACAUUGAAUAAUUGUUUGCAGAAAAAACCCUUACCAAGGAACAACAUUUUAUGGAGUCAAUGGAGUGCACCGGUCCAAGCACAAUGGUUAUUGAGGAAUUAAUUGAUAAGGAAUGGGAUGUUAUGGCAAUAACUUGUAAACCAAGAAAAAGAAAGAGGUUGCUAGCUAUUGAAGGACCCUCAGAUAAUAAGGGGGUGUUCGUUGAAGAAGAGUUAACUAUUAUGUGCUCGAAUGAUGGUUUUCACCAAGAAGAGAUGGUUGGUUAAAGUGUGGCUGAGGUUGAAGAUGUACAAGUUGCUCGAGAAUGAGGUUUACAAGAUGUACAAGUUGAUGAACAAGGUGUACAAGUUGGUGAAGAAGGUGAGGGGGAACACGGUGAUACAUUCUUUGAUGUACCUGUCGAUUUUGAAGGAGACCAAGAAGAAAGUGAUGAAGAAGAUCCUAAAUAAGACAAUGACUUUGUAGAGAGUGAUUAUGGGAGUGAUGAAGAUAACCCAAAAUUUGCUAAGUAUGAUGUGAUUCAGGAAGCCCAUGAGGUGCAAUAUGAGCAAAGAACAGAAAGGCAAUUUGAGAAAAGGAAAAAAAGGCAAACUGAUGAGAGCAAUGAAUGAGAAGAUGAAAGACAAGAAGAAGAAGGACAACAAGAGGUUGAAGAAGCUGGAGAUGGGGAGGUAAAUCUGGUUCAUGAACCAGAUUAUAAUUUUCAUGAUCUGGAAAGUGUACACUCUGAAGAUGAGGAAUGAGGCAAAAAAAGGAGAGCAUUAUCCAGAGUUUAAUGAGAAAAUGGACAUGAAGAAUCCACAGCUUAUUCUAGGGCUUAUUUUUUGAGACAGUGUGCAAUUCAAUAGAGUCGUCAUGAUGUAUUCCUUAGUGAAUGGAUAUAGGGAAAUUCAUUUUCAUAGGAAUAAGAAAUUGAAGAUUACUAUCAAGUGUGCAAAGGACUGCCUUUGGAUGUGUGCUGCUGGCAAGAUGCAUGGAUCAAACAACAUCCAAAUCAAGACAGUCUUUGAUCACCACACCUAUAGGAGGACUUGGGCAAAUAAGAACAUGACUGCUUCUUUACUCACAGAUUUGUACUUUGAUCGGAUAAAACUCAAUCCUACAUGGCCUGUCAAAUCUUUUUUAUUCACUGUGGAAUCCGAGUGGAAUCAUGGGUGUACAAAUAUGAAGGCUUAUAAGGCAUUGAAUAAAGUUUUCAAGAUUAUUAAAGGGAAACAUGCAGAGCAAUAUACAAAACUAUGAGAUUUUGCUGAGGAAGUAAAAAUGACUAACCCUGGAAGCAUUGUGAAGUUGAAGUUGGAUGGGGAAAAGUUUAAGAGGAUAUAUGUUUGCUUGGGGCAUGCAAAGAAGGCUUAAAGGCAGGAUGUAGACCUUUGAUAGGUUUAGAUAGGUGCCACUUAAAGGUUUUACAUGGAAGGCAAUUACUAUGUGUUGUUGGCAUUGAUCCAAACGAUGAGACAUGGGUUAUUGCUUAUGCAUUGGUGGAAAUAGAAAAUAAGGUAGCUUGUAUUUGGUUCUUACAACUGCUAGAUGUUGAUGUGGGUAUAGAAAACCAAAAUGGAUGGACAUUUAUCAGUUACAAGUCAAAUGGGCUAAUUCCAGCAUUUCAAAAGAUUCUUCUCAGAUGCCAUCACAAAUUCUAUGUGAGGCAUUUGUACACAAACUAUAAGAAUUUGUUCAAGGGGAAAACUUUGAAAGAUGCUCUAUAGGCAGUUGCCAAAACAACAACGGUUCCACACUUCAAAAAAGCAAUGGAGGAGGUUAAGAAACUAGAUGAGAAAGCCUACAAAUGGCUAGUGAAGAAGCUUGCAAAUCAAUGGAGCAAGUCCCACUUUGAAACCUAUCCAAAGUGUGACAUGUUGCUAAAUAAUUUGUGUGAAUCAUUCAAUGCAGUCAUACUAAUGCCAAGGCAAAAGCCUAUUAUAACUAUGCUGCAAAUGAUUCACACUAUGUUGAUUAAGAGAAUUCAAAUGAGGAGAGGUAUAAUGAUGAAGCAAGUAGGAGAUCUCUGCCCUAAGAUUAAGAAAAAGUUGGAGGAAGCCAAACUCUUAAGUGGUAGGUGCAUUGCACAAUGGUCAAGAGGGACUAAAUUUCAAGUAGAUGCUGGAGGUGGGGAAUAAUAUGUGGUGGACUUAGUUGAGAAGACAUGCUCUUGUAAGAAGUAUGACUUGAUGAGAAUACCUUGCAACCAUGCAAUAUCUGUCAUCCAUUUCAAGAGAGAAAAACCUGAAGAUUAUGUGGAUGCUUACUAUUCAAAGACACGGUACUUGGAAGUUUAUUCUCACUUAAUAAUGUCAAUUAAUGGUAUGUCAUUGUGGGAGGAUUUUGAAAACCCACCAAUCUUGCCUCCAUUAUAUACAAGACAACUUGGAAGACCAAGGAAGAAGAAAAACAAAGAAGCUGUUGAAUUGGAGAAAGAUGGUGAACAAAAUCCCACCAACCCACCAAAUAAUCCUGAAGGUCAUCGUAAGCCACUUAAGCUAGGAAGGAAAGGGCAAGGUGCUUUGAAGUUACUAUAUGCAAGCAAGAAGGACAUAAUUCAAGGAUCCAUCAUCGACAUCUUCCUCUAAGGGACAAAAGGUAACAUUUUGUACUUUCUUUAAUCCUUUCAUCCUUUAAUCCUUUAACCCUUAAUCAUUUAAUCAUUUAAUCCUUUAAUUAAUGACUUUAUACUUUGUUAUAGGCAUCCAAAUCAGUACAGGGAGAGCAUCAUCAUCAGCCGAAGCUGCACCUAAAAAGAGGACAAUGAAAUCUAAGGUAAAAGCCUAAUCCUCUCCUUUGUAGUUUACAACAAGAAGUUUAGUUUAGAACCUUGCUUUGCAUCUGACCUUUUGUAAUGAACAUUGAAAUUAGGCAUCACAAACAGGGGAUGGUUCAUCUGCAAAUCCUGAAGCUCAUUUACCGAGAGUCACUAAGCAGAGAAAGACAAGGCAAACUAAGACCUAAAGAUGCCAGAAAUUGUAACAAAUUGCUGUUUUUUAGUUCAUGUUUUAUUUGCAUUAUGGUACAUGGGUUCUAGAAUUAGACAUCACAAACAUUGAAUUUGUUUUGGCUUUUUGAACUAAUUUGUAACCCUGAAUAUGCACUGUUUUGCACUGUUUUGCUAGAUGGAUUUCAGUAGGUUUUUUGAAUCAGUGCACUGUGCAUUUUGGGAUAUUUAAGGAUGUCUAAUGCAUAUCUUUAUAAAUGUUAGAUGGAUUAACGAUGCUAUAUGAAUUAUAGUUCAUCUUUUGGUUAUAUCAUGUGUUUAUGUAGGAUUUGCGUUCAUCUCUAACUUACAUCAUGUGUUGAUGUGGGAUCAUGUGGUUAUGUAGAAUUUCCAUUUGGUUUUUUUAGGUUGUAUUAUCUUCCAAAAUUCCCUUUAAAAAAUUAUUUUUUUAGCUGACAUGGACUACUUUUAGCAAGAAAAAAUUAUGUUGAAAAAAAAAAUUCAAUUUUUUUAAAAUGACGUGGAAAUUAAUUUUUGCGGGAAAUCUACAUGGCAGAUCAUGUGGAAGUUCAUAUGUGGAGAGGGUGGGACCUAACUUUAGCCACAUCAGCAUAAAACGGAGGAAUUGACAGACACCGCAACGGAGGUAAAACAUUGCAACAAAUUCGUACAUAAGAUAUGAUAUUGAAACUUUUUAAAGAUGAGGUAUGAAACUGUUAAUGACCUAAUAGUUAAGGUAGUUUUAUAUAAUUUACCCUAAAUUAUUAUUUUUAGAAGCACUACAAUCUCACAUUAGCCCUUAAUGUGUAGGAUAAAAAGUACUUAUAAAGUGGGUUAAAAAUAAGUAAAGUAGGUGAAGUCUAAUCAUAAAUUUAUAGGAACUUUAACGAAAAGCUCCUAGUACUAUUCACUUUAACGAAAUACCAUAUUUUUACACUAAAAAAAUCAAUCAUGGUACUAUUCAUUUUAUCAUUUAUUUUGUCCUUAUCGUUAAAACUCAAAGUUUUCAAGCAUUUUUCAUUAGUUUUUCUUAAAUUUAUUUGGGUUAAUUGAUGAGAAGGCUCACGUUACACCUCCAAUUAAUUUUUAAUUUUUUUUAGGAAAACUAAUUAAAAGGGUUUGAAAAUUUUGAGUUUUAACGAUAAUGACAAAAUAAAGGGUAAAGUAAAUAGUAACAUAAUUAAUUUUUUAAUAUAAAAAUGUGAUUUUUUUGUUAAAUUGAACAAUACCGAAAAAUUUUCGUUAAAGUUUUUUUUUUUUUCCGCAUGAGCCUGGCAAAAGUAAGGAAAGCGAAAGGUUGUAAAUUUCAAAACGGAAAUAAUAACUGAGGCCCAAACGGCGUUAAGAUGACAAAACCAGAAAGAAAAUUAAAAGGCAGGGUCAAUAAAGGAAAGUAGAAAACAGAGCGGCUUAGCGUUGGGAAGGCAAACCAGCAGCAGAGACACGCGGCACUAGACAAUUGGGCGGAACCCCACAUAUAUCCAUUUGUAGUAGCCUGCAUUUUUCAAUGCUCUUUGCCUUAUUCCGCAAGGAACACACACACCCGGCUCUCUCUCACUCACUCUCUCUCUCUCUCUCACGCAUAGAAACCCCCCCCUCCCCUCUCUCUCUCUCUCUCUCUCUAAACUUCUGUUUAUCUUGGUGAAAGCCAUUAGUUAAUAAAGUAGAUCUGGGUUUGUAUGGUUUCUAUGUGAUUUUCUUAGUUUUGUGUUUGUGGGUUUUACCUUUUGGUUUAUGAGUCUGAGCGAGAAGAGGGUACAUUUCUUAACUUGUGCUAAUUUGUGGGUUUUAUUUUGCUGUUAUAAUCAGAGUUUACUUGCUUCAUACUUAAUUUUACACUAAAAAAUUCCCUUUUUUCUCCUAAAGAAAAAAAUGAAGUAUAAUAGAGUUUACUUGUUUCAUUUUUUUCGUUCUUGUCGAAGUAGUUUCAUUUCUUCAUUUCUGUCGAUGAUGAACUGCUGAUCUAUAAUUCUGCACUCUUCUUCGCUGCUCAAUCGGGCUUGAUCCUAUUAUUUCUUAAUUUAGUGCAACAUUAAGGUGCAAUUGUAGACAUCGAAAUUUCGGUAAAUAAAUGUUGACCGGUAAAUCAAAGUGUCAACGCUCAUGUAUUACAUAAAUUUUACACGUAGCGUGUGACUCAACGAAAAUUGAAAUGAGUUGGAAAAGUCAUCAAAUAGGACAUGUGUCAACACCUGGCAGAAACGACUUAUUUCAUCUGGAAUAUUAUAUUCAAAAUUAGGCCUUGGAAAAUUCUAUAAAUACAAGCCCAUUCCAUUCAUUUGGGGAACCAAUUCAUAUUACACCUUGAAGCUCUGAAACUCCAAAGCUCUCAAGCAUCCAGGUUCCCGAAGAAUCAAGAAAGCCUUUUUCGUUCUUCGUUCAUCGUUCUUCCAAGAUCAAGCCCCGACGGCCCUUGAAGAAAGUGUUCUUCGUUCAUCGUUCUUCCAAGAUCAAGCCCCAACGGCCCUUUGGAUCAACAAUCAUCCACCAAUUCAAGAUCAAGCCCCGACGGCCCUUGAAGAAAGUGUUCUUCGUUCUUCGUUCAUCGUUCUUCCAAGAUCAAGCCCCGACGGCCCUUGAAGAAAGCACCAUCGUUCAUCAUCCGUUCAUCCAAGAUCAAGCCCCAACGGCCCUUUGGAUCAACAACGUCGACAAAUCCACAAAUCCAAUUGUUCUUCAAGAUCAAGCCCAAAACUCCUUGAAGAUCCGUUCAUCACUGUUCUUCAAGAUCAAGCCCAAAAGCCCUUGGAGAUCCGUUCAUCACUGUUCUUCAAAGAUCAAGCCCAAAAGCCCCUUUGAAGAUCCGCUCAAAUCCACCUUCAAGAUCAAGUCCACGGCCCUUGAAGAACGUUCAUCCUUAGAUCAAGCCCAACGGCCCUUUGGAUCAAUCACACAUCCACAAAUACACACCUUACGGAGAUCGAAUCAGAGGAUCAAAAUAGAGAGAGAUUGUAACCCAAAAUCAUCAAAAAUACAAAUAUUUGUUUGUGCGCGUUCGUUCUUGUCUCUUUCGUUUCAGGAAUUUUUCGUGUUCACAAAUUGGCACGCCCAGUGGGACAAUCUCUGCCUCUCAUCUCUUUCUCCGUUCAAGAAAUUCAAGCGCACUUCCAAAAUUAAUGGCAUCAAGGAAGGCUCAAUCUGUUCCCGCAACCGGCGCAAAGAACAAGAGCGUCCUCGUCGCAACUGGUGUCACUUUGGGCAUCACGACUCGAAGCAUGGCAAGAGCUACUUCUGCCGCCUCUUUCACCUCUGCAUCAACUCUGCCAAAGGAACAAAAGCACCCAAGGCACGAGCCUUUGAUCACCUUAGCCUCACUAAGGGCACCAAGGGGGGGAAGCCCAAGGAAAUACUCCGAAUCCAUGCUCUCCGAUGCCGAUUCAAGCGGCAGUGCAGCCAUGCAAGUUAUGACCAUUGGAGCAACUUCAAUCGAUGAGCAGCUGGCUCAGAUGAAUGAAGCAAUCGCAAGGCUAACCCGAACUGUGGAAGAAAAAGACUUGCAAAUUGCAGCACUCGUCAAUCGACUAGAGGCGCAGGACGGCGAUAAACCCGACCCAGAGAAUGAUCCACUAAAGAGAAGAGAUGAUGAAGAAGAAGAGCCUCAGGUGGAGAAAAACGAUGCGAAGCCGGAGCCAGACCAAGCAGCGGCACUCAUGGCAUCUCUUUCUAUCCAGCAGCUGCAGGAGAUGAUCACCAAUACCAUCAAGGCACAGUACGAAGGGAGCUCACAUACCUCCUUGUUCUACUCGAAGCCCUAUUCCAAGAAGAUUGAUGCCCUAAAGAUGCCGAGGGGAUAUCAACCACCAAAGUUCAUGCAGUUUGAUGGAAAAGGAAACCCAAAGCAGCACAUUGCACAUUUCGUCGAAACUUGCAACAACGCGGGGACGGAGGGAGACUACCUCGCCAAGCAGUUUGUGCGCUCGCUGAAAGGAAACGCCUUUGAGUGGUACACGGACCUAGAGCCUGAGUCCAUCAACAGCUGGGAACAGUUGGAAAGGGAAUUCCUCAACCGCUUCUACAGCACCCGCCGCACUGUGAGCAUGCUAGAGCUAACAAGCACAAAACAGUGGAAGGACGAGCCAGUCAUUGACUACAUCAACAGAUGGCGCACUCUAAGCCUCGACUGUAAAGACAGGCUCUCGGAAACCUCUUCAAUCGAGAUGUGCAUCCAAGGCAUGCAAUGGGGUUUGCAAUACAUCCUUCAAGGCAUUAAACCACGGACUUUCGAGGAAUUGGCCACUCGCGCCCAUGACAUGGAGUUGAGCAUCGCCCAUCAUGGGAAGAAAGAAUCGAUCGCCGACUACAAGAACGACAAAGUUCUUGGGACAAAGGUGGAAAAGGCUGCAUGGAAACCCACCAAGGAAGCGAUGACGGUCAACACAUCUCCCGUCAAAAUAUCCACACGAGGCAAGGCGAUUCAAACCGAAGCUUUUCGUGAUCAAGAGACACGUAGACGCACUUUGAAGGAGCUUGAGGAGAAGACUUAUCCAUUCCCCGACUCUGAUGUGGUUGCCAUGCUAGAUGACCUGUUGGACAAGAAGGUGAUCAGUUUGCCUGAGUGCAAACGGCCAGAAGAGAUGAAUCGCGCCGACAGUCCAAGGUACUGUAAAUUCCACCGCUUCAUCAGUCAUCCGACAGAAAAAUGUUUCGUGCUGAAAGAUCUCAUCAUGAAGUUGGCUCAGAAAGGAAUCAUCGAGCUAGAUCUUGACGAAGUGGCGAAGUCAAACUAUACCACCUUCACUUCUGGCUCUUCCGACUCAAAGUUUUCACCUCAACCGCUGGGGGCAUCCUCAAAGACAAGCAAAGUUGAAGGAUGGACUCAAGUCACUCCUAAGAAAUUGCACAAGAAGCAUACGUUUCCUCCACAAGUCCGCCAAUCGGAAAGGGGGCAAAGCAGCUAUUGUCAACCUUCAAAGCAACGUGAACGUGUUGAAGAUGAUGAAAUUGCGACACAAAGAUCGUCCGUUGCCAUCACGAUGCGCGACUUCUUGCCCGAAGACUUCUUCAAUCACACGGUCAAAGCUCCUUGCUAUGAAAAUUGUGAGGAACGCUUCUCCAAAAUUGCUUGACAAAUCUACCAAAAAAAUUUCUCCUUGCCCGCACGAGUCUAAACUGCAUGGCACAAAGCUCCUGGUCUGCACGAGCAUAAAAGGCAACACCAAUGGUCCUUGUUCGCACGAGCCUAAACUGCACGAACCAACGCUCCUGGUCUGCACGAGCAUAAAAGGCAACACCAAUGCUCCUUGCCUGCACGAGCUGAAACUGCAAUACGGCACCAAAUGCUCCUUGUCUGCACGAGUUGAAACUGCAAACGACACCAACACUCCUUGCCUGCAUGAGUUAAAACUGCAAACGGCACAAAAAGAAAAUACAAAAAAUAUGUAUGUAUUUGAACUACGUUAUGACUUGAUCUCUUCUUUGGAAGGGUACGUAGGCAACUCGAACGUUCAACUUCGAGUACAGUCACGUCAAAAUAAAAAUAAAAAAAAUAAGGUUUUAUUAAGUGUUUUGCUAUUGAAAGUCAAUAUUAUUACAUUCUUUGUACGAAAAAAAAUUACACAUUGUUUGUAAAACAAAAAAACAAAAAAAAAACUACAGCUUAAAAAAAAUAAAUAUAUAUAUAUAUAUAUAGCCUCAGAAGCAGAUCAAAACACAUCUGCAAUUCCAAUAGGCCCAGGCCCAGAAGCCCACGUUCCUUGUCAACGAAAAGAAGACCUCAUCCUCACCAUCACCAUCUUAAACUUCAGUUUCAAAUCUCAUGAUCUCCACCACCGUUCUGCCGCCUGCUCACGAAGAUGGAUGCAUCGAGGUUGCUGGUAGUUUAAAGGGGUUUCAAACCAGAAAGUCCCCAUGGAUGAUUUUCCCGAGAAACCCACUUUAGAAAUCGAAUUUCACGAAAACCCAGUUGCAUCAAAGCCCCUUCGCCACUCCGACGGCACGCUCCGAUACGUCGGCGGCCACAACCGCGUCCUUGCCGUCGAUUCCUCCAUUACAUGUACAGAGUUAGUGGAGAAGCUUAAGGAGUUCUGUGGCUACUCUGUGGAAUUGAAGUGUCCAUUGCCGAACGGAGAUUUAGAGACCAUGAUUACCGUAAAGUCCGACGAGGAUUUGGCGAAUAUCAUCGAAGAGUACGGUCGAGCUUCUUCUCCGCUUCGUCCUCUGAAGAUCAGAGCCAUUCUCGCACCGCAGCACCCCGGACUCCACUCGUCACCUCCUAUCUCAGCCGCUUAGUCCAUUCCACCCUCCAUUUUCCCAAUUUCUCGGUCCCUCGCUCCGCCUACUUGUGCUUUGUCUGAUGGUUGUGCUGUUACCGGAAGAUUAGAGGGAGAAGGCAAAGCGAGCUGUAGAGUUGUUCUGAUGCGCCACAAGUGUUAUUCAACCAGUAACUUAUGGGAAUUAAGCACCUGAACUGAAGUGGAGAGAAGGUGCACCCAAAAAUGGCUAUUACUUUUUGUGGUUCAAAUGGUAAUUAUAUUAAAAUUGAUGGUGCUGGUUCGUCUGAUGAGCUUGACUAUCUUCCAUUGAUACAAUGGCGCAAUUUGUUACUCGUUGGAAGGCAAAAUUUGAAGUCCCUCAUUGGUGUUACGGUUAAAGAAGAAGAUGAGCUCUCCAAGUCACAAAUCCCUCACUUGAUCAGCAUUUACAACAUGACUCUUGCAGCUUCUUUUGUUCAUCUGGAGGUGGUAUGAAUGGCUUUGCUGGUUCUUCUGUGUUAGCAGUUCAAAUGAAAAGUGAGAUCUCUGAUCACUCUACUUAUGAUCACCUGGACCACAUUUCCCUCAAAGAGCGACAAAAGAUGCUGCAAUCAAGGAAACUCUUCGGGUUUGAAAAAGCACUUAUUGAGGAUAUUCCAGGGCCACUAUCAAAGGACCUUAUGCAACAGCUUGCUUGUAAAGGACAGGCAGAUACUAGUAGUGCCGGUGGAGAAGCUUUAGUGGCUACCAGUUCACUUCAUGACAAUUCAGGAAGAAAUAGUUCAGUUGUUUGUAGAACUUCUAUGAUUAGUUCACCUCAUAAUGUCAUUGUUGAAGCAUUUUCUACAACCUAUCAAUAUUCAGUUAAUUCCAGUAAGUCCAAUUAUGGUGGAAAAGGUUCUGAAAGUGAUAAGAAAUGCUCAUCUGAGAGAAUGCCUCCUAAUGCCACGGAGUUAAGUUCAUGUGGGGGACAGGACUAUCUGCCUACAUGCACAAGUAGAAGGCAUUGUUCAACCCCGUCAACAUCUGUUAAAGUAAAGGAUGAACCUUGGGAUGACGGUGUCUUCCAAAAUCAGGACAGAAAUGCUGGGGGUAAGUUCUCCUUUGACAUACUGCCCGUAAAGAAUGAACCAAGAGUUUUCAAUGAAAUUAAUGAAGAAGAGGAAUCUCAUCACUCGGCCCGACCACGACCCUUCAUCUGAGCCAUCAGACUCCGUAGUUCCUGCACCCGCCACAAGUCAGCAACCCAAACACCUUGAGCAGCUUGAAAGAUCAGAGUCCUUGCUUGCUAAGCAAAAGCGUACUGCACCCAUCAUUGUCUGCCGCAAAAGGAGCUCCAGUUCGUUAAAACCUUCGGCGGCUGCUUCUAGCUUUGGUCAGACUCUCAAAAGAGAUGAGAAGAAGAAAGCAGCAGCUCCGGCGAAGCCUAAAGUUGCAGCGAAGGAACAAGUGUUAAGGCUAUGAACACUUGGUGAUUUUCGUUGGCGGCGACGACGUCCUCCUCUGUUCUCCUCACCACUGCGCCGCUGCCUACAACUCCAGCUCUGCCACGAACAGGCAACCAUCGUCACAACAACUGCAGUAGUCGCGAGCAGGACUCUUCAUCACCAUCUCUGCAGCUCAGUUCCAAGCAGCAACGGCGACGGCAAAGUCUCCGACAUCAAGGCUGCACCACUCUUCUCUUGCGUGCUCCUCCGUCUCUUGCCUCGCAGCUGCCAACGACUUCAACGACCGCCGUCAAACGACUAGCCGGUCGUGAAGCUCGAAGCACCAUCUUCUCCGUCCUCCCUGCUCUGCUCCUGCAGAAGUUCCUCUACCCUUCAUCCAAAUUUAUAUAAAAAAAUAUAUAAUAAAGAAAGGGGAUGGUGGAUCAAAGAUAGGGAACAGCCCCAUGGUAGAUCAAAAGUUUCAUGGUGCGUCUGGCACCAUGUGCAUAAAUAAAAGAAAAAAAAAAAGGGAGAAAUGAUUUAAAAAGUAAAGGGAGCAGCAAUGGUGAUGAGGGGAAGCAUCUUUCAAAGGCAAGAAGAAGAAAUCGUGGUGGACAGCACCAUGUGUUAAAAAAAAAAAAAAAAAGGGAGAAAUGAUUUAAAAAAUAAAGGGAGCAGCAAUGGUGAUGAGGGGAAGCAUCUUUCAAAGGCAAUCCCAGCUGCCAAUUGUUUAAAGUAGCAGAUUGGAGGGAUGAGACGGGAAGUUGGCCAACAGCUUCAUUUUUGGAGAUUACCAUUACUAGCGGAAAAGCAAGCAUAAGGAAGCAUUCAAGGGGAGAGCAUUUCGCUCUCACAUAAAAAAAAAAUAUAUAUAUAUAUAUACCCAUUUACAAAUUCCAUGUUCAUUUAAUAUUAUUUUGUGCAAAAAAAUAAAAAAUAAAAAAUGCAUUGAGAGAAAUAAAGUCCAUUUUAUUUAUUUUUCUGAAAAUUUUACAGAAAUAUACAUUUUUACAUCCAGUCAAAAAAAAAAAAAAAAAAAAAAAAAAAAAAAAAGUCAAAUCAAAUCUACAGGAAGGGAUUUUCAAGGACGAUCAGGUAGCGCCUCACCACUCGGCAGAGCUCUAGGAAGAAGAGGCGCCAGAGGUUGACUGUUUGAAGCCUCAUCACUCGGCGGAACUCCAGGAAGAAGAGGAGCCAGAGGUUGAUCAUGAGGAGCUUCAUUACGCGGUACAGCCCUAGAAGACGAAGGCAAGUGCUGCUGGAACAAACCCACAAACCUCUGAUGAUCAAGUAAAAUCUGACCAUCAGAUUCCUGCAUCUGGUUAAUCUUCCUCUUCAUGUUUGUCGCAUAGCUAUGUGCGAGCUUAUGCAACUGUUUGUUCUCCUGCUUGAGCCCUCUAAUCUCCUGUUUGAGACUCAUCACUUCAGCCGCCAAUGAUUCAACUUGACGGGUUCGAGCAAAUAGGCGUUGGGCCAUAUUAGACACAGAACCUGCACACUGCACACUGAGAGCCAGAGAAUCCUUAACAGCCAACUCAUCAGACCGUUUGGAAAGUAGUCUGUUAUCUCUGGGAGUGACAAGGUUCCGGGCCACCACCGCAGCGGUCAUAUCAUUCUUCACCACUGAAUCCCCAACGGUAAGAGGACCAGUAGGGGAUAUGAAGGAUGGGCGCCAUAUGUUGUCUGGUGAAGGCGGAACUGCCUCUUCACCAAGAUUCAAGUCAAAACGACGGUCGGAGGGUCCAGACAUUUUCAAAGUGAUGAAGGAAGAAGAGAUCGGACAAAUCAAGAUCUUAGAAGUACAAGAGGGGAGUUUUCACAAGCGAAAAUUCGAGUGUGCUUUGAAACGAACUGCAUGCCUCUAUAAAAAUCAGCACUCGACGGGGUUUCAGAGAUCGAAUGGGCGAGCUCAGAAUUUGAAGAGGCCAUUCAAAAAUCGAAGAGGCAAGCUCAGAAAUCGGAGAAGCAUCUUGCUUUUCCAGACACGUUGGCACCCGUCACACGCAAACUCAGCUUGCAAAAAUCACGGGCAAUUUGUCGAAGCGCCGAUCCCAGAUAUCGAAGAGGCGCCAGUCUUUUUCAGCCGCGUCAACACCUGUCACAUGCACACUCAGCUUGGCGGAAAUUACGGACAAUUUGUCGAAGAUUUCUGAUAAGGAAGAAAGCACGUGAAGCCAUAUAGAUCAAUCACGCAUUGGUUGCCGACACGAGUGAAAGAAUAGUACCUCUACAGGCAUCAAAGAACUUCCUAUAAUUGUCUACAUUCACCUUCCAUAACGAGGCAGACAUACAGAGCCUUUCUUCAUCUCCAAAAAAUGCUUUCCCUACGAAGCCUCUCGAGUCAUUCAAUGUUCCUUAUUCCUUGGGGUACCUCUGCAAGCCAAUGACUCCAAAGCAAAAGUAUCUCAUAUCAGCAGGGUAGAAAGCAAGAGUAUCUCAUAUCAUGCGCUCUCCCUGUCCUUUCCUUUGUCCUUGUUCUUACCUACAAAGACAAGGAUAAAGAAAACAAUAUGCCGGAACUUCCACUCAAACUCGGGUAAGGAACCGACUGCUUGGAACCCUUCCCUGAUUGCCUACCUAGCACUGCUCUCGAGUACUCGCCUUCCAAUGCUGCUGUACUUUCAAAAAAGCUGCCACAUCUGCUUGGGGAACAGAUAAGGCAAGUGAAAAUGAUACCUUGCAGCAUGUGGAGACAAGGUGCGGAAGGAACAAGCAGAGAAGAAUGCAGUCUGCAUAAUCAACUCAGCAGAAGGAGUCCGAACUGAGGAACUCGAGAAGCUGCCACAUCUGCCUGAAGAAACAAGCAGAGAAGAAUGCAGCAUGCACAGUCAACUCAGCAGAAAGAGUCUGAGAUGAAGAACUUGAGAAGAUGCCGCAUCUGCCUGAGGACGGUGAGCUUGUUUUGACCCUCAAAUUCUUGGGUCGGCUUACUAGGCGUUGUGAGCUGCACGUGCUGAUUCACCACCCUUGAAUCGAAUCCUUAAAGAUCAAGUCACCAACUGGAAGAAGAGUUCAUCAAUCUUGAAGAUCAUGCCGUUGACCAAACUGCUCAGGUGUGAAUUAGAAAGAUUGAACAAAGAAACAGGUUGUCACCUUUACCUCGUGCCUGCUUGCCAUGUGUUCGAGUCAACCUUCAAGAAUCAAGCCUCAACGGCCCUUGAGGAAAUCACAAGUCCGAUUCAAGAUUAAGUGUCUACCACCAUUGAAUCAAAACCUAGUUCAAGAAUAAGCUGUGGAAAAUCAACAAUUGGAGGAAUCCAGAAAAUCCUUCAACCCAGUUCAAGAUCAAAGCUGUGGAAAGUCAACAAGCGCAACAAAAUACGUGCCGAUUCACCCACUACCAAAGCCAAAGAUCAUCUACCACAUGAAGCUCCUGGUGGUCCAAUUUCAACCUUCAAGAUCAAGUCUCGACGGCCCUUGAAGAAAUUUCAAACAAAAGUUCAAGAACAAGCCUCAACGGCCCUUGAAGAAAUCUCAAGCCUAAUUCAAGAUCAAGCCUCAACGGCCCUUGAAGAAAUCUCCAGCCCAAUUCAAGAUCAAGCCUCGACGGCCCUUGGAUCGACAUCUACAGUAAGGGACUUCAAAACACAUCUCCUACACGUGACAAGCACAUGUAUACGACGUGCCUUGAAGUGGGGGCAUUUGUAGACAUCGAAAUUUCGGUAAAUAAAUGUUGACCGGUAAAUCAAAGUGUCAACGCUCAUGUAUUACAUAAAUUUUACACGUAGCGUGUGACUCAACGAAAAUUGAAAUGAGUUGGAAAAGUCAUCAAAUAGGACAUGUGUCAACACCUGGCAGAAACGACUUAUUUCAUCUGGAAUAUUAUAUUCAAAAUUAGGCCUUGGAAAAUUCUAUAAAUACAAGCCCAUUCCAUUCAUUUGGGGAACCAAUUCAUAUUACACCUUGAAGCUCUGAAACUCCAAAGCUCUCAAGCAUCCAGGUUCCCGAAGAAUCAAGAAAGCCUUUUUCGUUCUUCGUUCAUCGUUCUUCCAAGAUCAAGCCCCGACGGCCCUUGAAGAAAGUGUUCUUCGUUCAUCGUUCUUCCAAGAUCAAGCCCCAACGGCCCUUUGGAUCAACAAUCAUCCACCAAUUCAAGAUCAAGCCCCGACGGCCCUUGAAGAAAGUGUUCUUCGUUCUUCGUUCAUCGUUCUUCCAAGAUCAAGCCCCGACGGCCCUUGAAGAAAGCACCAUCGUUCAUCAUCCGUUCAUCCAAGAUCAAGCCCCAACGGCCCUUUUGGAUCAACAACGUCGACAAAUCCACAAAUCCAAUUGUUCUUCAAGAUCAAGCCCAAAACUCCUUGAAGAUCCGUUCAUCACUGUUCUUCAAGAUCAAGCCCAAAAGCCCUUGGAGAUCCGUUCAUCACUGUUCUUCAAAGAUCAAGCCCAAAAGCCCCUUUGAAGAUCCGCUCAAAUCCACCUUCAAGAUCAAGUCCACGGCCCUUGAAGAACGUUCAUCCUUAGAUCAAGCCCAACGGCCCUUUGGAUCAAUCACACAUCCACAAAUACACACCUUACGGAGAUCGAAUCAGAUGAUCAAAAUAGAGAGAGAUUGUAACCCAAAAUCAUCAAAAAUACAAAUAUUUGUUUGUGCGCGUUCGUUCUUGUCUCUUUCGUUUCAGGAAUUUUUCGUGUUCACAGCAAUCUUUUUUCUAAAGGCUGUUUCUUUUCUUUCUUUUUUUAUUUAAAAGUGUGUUUGUAGUUUGUACAACAGAUCUGCUCGGUGGUGGAGCAAUAUUUUUAAAGGUUUGUUUUUCCCUUGCUUUCGUAGGGUUUUUGGUUAUAUGUAGCUUGUUUUUCUUCUUUCUUUGUUCUUGUCUGCAUUUCCGCCAGAAACCACCGUUUCUUUGUGAUGCAAUGUUCUUUGGCUGGCUUUAGAUUUGAGUAUUAGAUGAAUUGUUUCUUUUCUUUAUCUAUUUUCUUGUUUGUAUUGAGAUUUUCAGUCUUGAAAAAUAUUGAGGGCCUGUUUGAUAACCAUUUCAAUUUUUUUCAUUUUUCAUUUUUCUGAAAAUUGAAAUCUAUAAGCAGUCAUUUAAUAAAUUAAAAAAAAAAAAAAAAAAAAAGUGAACGCAAAAACUGAAACUGAAACUGAGAAUGGAAUAAUUAUCAAAAGACCCCCAAGUGUUUUAAGUUUUUUGCUUUUAUAUCAGAAACAAAUGAUGAGGUAAUGGACUCUUUAAAAAAUGAAAAUUACCAUUUCUUAGCAAUCAAUAAAUUAACAGAUUAAGAUUAUACUUUGAAGAAUGCUUGAGUAUGAUCCAAAAUGCAAUUUAUUUGUUAUUUAAAUCCUUGAAACCAUCAUCUUAUUCCUUUGCUGUGCAUGAAUUGGUUAUUUCAGUUCUCGUCUUCGUUUCUUUGCUGUUGUAUGUAUUCUCCCUGAUUUAGUUUUUAGUGCUUUCCAUGUGUAUUCCUCCUGAUGAGUUAGUGGCAGGACAAUUGUUUUGGAAGAGAAACUGGCUCAAGUUUGAAUUUGGUAGAGAUGUAUCUCUUUGUUACCUGCAGUUUACACCUACAUUGCUUAUCAAUUGCGGGGUUGGCAGGUAUAAGGUAAUGGAGUCUUCCGAUCCCAAAGGAGCUGAGCUUCAUCCUCCUCCCGCCAUUAUUCCUCCAAAAGUUGUCCCAACUGUGGCAGAAGGAAAAUCUGUUGAAGUGUUUAAGAAACCAUCGACUUCUAAACUUGUUCCCAUGUCAAGGCCAGGCUUUGGAUCUAGAGGAAAAAACAUCCAACUAACAACUAACCAUUUCAAAGUGGGAGUGAAAAUUUCGGAUGGCUACUUUUUCCAUUAUAGUGUAACUUGCUCGUCCCUACCUAUCUUAAUUAGCAUCUAUUUUGCAGCUUAAUGUUUGUAUAAUGUAUUGAUGUUAGAUAUGUUGUUAGUACAGAUUGACAUGUUUUAUGAGGAUGGAACCCCAGUUACAGCGAACGCUAUUGGACGCAAAGUUGUUGAAAAAGUUAAAGAGACAUAUGACAGGGAUCUAGGACGAAAAGAAUUUGCUUAUGAUGGACAGAAGAACUUGUUUACUGUUGGCUCUCUCCCUCAUAAAAGACUCGACUUUGUGGUAGUAUUGGACAACAUCUCGUCAAGCAGGUACUGAUUUGUGGAUGAUCAUGUUGAAUUUAUCUUGCUCUCAUUUUCUCUUGAGAUCAUUGGCUCAGUGGCUAUUUUUCACACACUAGGCGAAUUGGGAAUGUUGGAGGUAGUAGUAGUUACGACCCAGCUGAGAGUGGAAGCGAUAGGAAGAGACUUAAGCAUUCAUUUCAAUCCAAAACAAUAAAGGUGCUGAUAAAUUAUGCUACUAAAAUCCCAAUGCAAGCGAUCGUAAAUGGAUCACGAGGUCAGGAUUCAAAGGAGUUUCAGGAAGCAGUUAGAGUUCUGGACAUCAUUCUAAGGCAGCAUGCAGUAAAGCAGUAAGUAGUUGAAUGUUGUAUCUUUCCCUCGAUCAGUCUUCCCUUGUUGGUUCAUCAUACACUGUUUCUGUCCAGGGGUUGUCUCCUUGUCCGACAGUCUUUCUUCCGUAACAAUCCAAGGAAUCCAGACUUGGGAGAAGGCUUGUCAGGCUGCUCGGGCUUCCAUUCAAGUUUCCGAGCUACCCAAGCGGGUCUUUCCCUGAACAUGGGUAAAUUUCUAAGCUUUCAUUUGUUCUCUGUCAUUUUACUGCCACAUUAAUCACUAUCCCUGCCUGAAUGCAGAUGUAUCCACUACAGUGAUCAUAAAACCAGGUCCCGUUUUGAACUUCCUCUUGGAGAACCAAAAAGUUAAUCACCUUCGCCAUAUUGAUUGGAUCAAGGUACUUAAAAGUGAUUUCAUACAGUAUUGGCAUUGCAUUGAUAUGACUUCAUUCAUGAGUCUUAGGCUCUGAGCUUCUUUAUUUGAUCAUAGGCUAAAAGGACGCUAAAAAAUCUACGGAUCAGGAUCGAAUCCUCUGGUAUGGAGUACAAAAUCACUGGAUUGAGUGACGAUUCCUGCAAAGAGCAGACGUAAGUUCUUUCAGUGCAUUACCAAUGCCAUCUAAACAUCAUCUCAAGUUCUUGUAUUCUAAUAUGUAUGAACCUGUUUAUCUGAAAUAUUUCACCAUGUUUUCUCUAUGUGAAGGUUUUUUCUAAAAAAGAGUAAAGGACAAGAUGGUGACGGAGAAGAAGUUACUGUUUAUGACUACUUUGUUCGCCAUAAACACAUACCUGUACGUGAGUCAGCAGAUUUUCCAUGCAUCAAUGUUGGGAAAGCAAAGCGGCCAUCUUUCUUUCCACUUGAGGUGAUACAUUAACUUCAAAUGAUAACUACUAUGGUUAAUAUUGGAAUUAUUUUUCAUGCUCCUUUGCCUGUAUAGCUUUGUACCUUGGUUCCAUUGCAACGCUAUACCAAAGCCUUGUCCACUAAGCAAAGGUCUACACUAGUGGGGGAGUCCCGGCAGAAGCCCCAGGAGCGGAUUUCAGUUUUGCAACGUGUGAGUUAUUUCUCUCCAUGUGUUAUAGUUUAAACUUUGAAAUUUUGAAUCUAACACUUUCUUUCGUCUCAUAUGUUAUAUUCUUGCAGGAGCUGAGAAGUAGUAACUACAAUGCUGACCGGAUGCUUCAAUCUUCUGGAAUAUCAAUCAGUCCUGAAUUUAUGCAGGUUGAAGGCCGUGUGCUGUCAGCCCCAAGGGUAAAAAUUUUGGAUCCUUUCUUUUCAUGUCGCUACUAUUAUUUUAUUGAUGUAUGUCCUUUUUAUCAUCUCUCUUUUGUUGCAGUUAAAAGUGGGCAAUGGGAAUGAUUUUUUCCCCCGGAAUGGGCGCUGGAAUUUCAGCAAUAUGGUGCUCUUCUUUUCUUGUGCUUUCUUGUUUCACCACUUUCAAAUUCUGAAUUUCUUGUACUGAAUUUAGCUUGCUUACCUGCAUGUAGAGUUUUGUGGAACCGGUAAAAAUUGAGACGUGGGCAAUUGUCAACUUCUCUGAUUUCCGUGACAUUGAUUUCCUGAUCAAAACUAUGUUGAAGUGUGGAGAUAUGAGAGGAAUUGUGAGAUUUUCCCUUUCCUCUGAAUUAUAUUAUGAGAUCUACUCCAGGCUGUACAUCUGAUCCCUUAAUUCUUUGUUCUAAACAUUUUUUGUUGUUUUUCGGUAGGCCAUACAUCCUCCAAGUCAUGUAUUUCAAGAGAAAAAUCAGCAUAAGCGCGAGCCAGCUGCGGUCCGAGUGGACAAGGUGUUUGAAGAAAGAGGAUUGAGAAUUAAGAAAGAAAUACCAAAGCUUCUGCUGUGUAUUCUUCCUGAGAGGAAUAACAUAUAUGGUCACAAUCAGAUCACAAUUUUUUUUUUCAUCUAUUUAUUGUUUUCACAUUUUAGUUUGGGAGUAUAUAUUCUGUACUAACAAUUCCUUACACUUAAGGUCCAUGGAAAAGGAAAUGUCUCUCCGAGGUCGGGGUUAUAACACAGUGCAUUAUCUGGAAGGGUAAAAGGAUGAAUGAUCAGUAUAUCACAAAUGUGCUCCUCAAAAUCAAUGCUAAGGUAUUUGUGGAAAUUGGCUCUUGUCAUCUCGUCUAUGGUUUGGUUUUAGUUAUUAGUCAUGCCUUAAUCUUAUUGUCUUAAUGUCGCAUAUGCAGCUUGGUGGAAUGAACACCUAUCUAACAGCGGAGUAUUCUCGUUCUAUACCUAUGGCUUCCAGGUCUCCUACUAUGAUUUUGGGUAUGGAUGUGUCCCAUGGCUCACCUGGGCGGUCAGAUGUUCCUUCUAUUGCAGUGGUAACCAUUUCAACCUCUAAACUGAUUUUUUUUUUUUUUUCAAUCAUGUCACCCGGGAAGUUUGCUGCUGUAUCAUGUCAUGUGCAUUUGUUGAUGCAUACCUCUUUACAUAUUGUAAGUUGGAGGUUUGUAGGUGGUUGGUUCGAGGAAAUGGCCCUCAAUUUCUCAUUAUCGCGCCUCAGUUCGUACUCAAUCACCGAAAGUAGAAAUGAUUGCUUCUCUGUUCAAGCCUGUGUCAGAAAAAGAUGAUGAGGGCAUAAUCAGGUUGGCCUCUCCCACCACUUACAUUGACCUCGCCACUUUAAUAUUUUUGCAUCCAGUUAUCUGUUAUCUGAUUAUUUAAAACUUACUUCUGGUGUACUUGUUUCAUUCAAUUCUGUAACAUAUGUGCUCUUUUCAGGGAACUGCUACUAGACUUUUAUCGUUCAUCAAACAGCUGUAAGCCGGCUCAGAUAAUAAUUUUCAGGUGUAGUAUUAUUCAUAAGAGUUAUGCCACAUAUGUAGGGAGUUAUAAAAUUCAUUUUGAUUAUGCCCUUGAUCGUCACCAGCGAACUAUUGCGAGUCCUUUUUUGUACUUUAAAUAAAAAGCUAGAAAAUUUUCUUGAGGUAUAGUAGUAUCGUUAUAUUGACAUUUUACAACAAUUAUUCUGACAUAUAUAAUCACAGAUCUACAACUGCAGGCUCUCUGUGGUAUUGUUCUUUGCCUGUUUAGGCAAUGUCCUACAACAAUGAGUAGAGAAAUAAAAUAAAAUUUUGUUAAUGUUCUCUGUGAUUAAGUGUAAGAGUUGUUAUGCGUUUCAUCCUUAUAUCCAAUUUUUAUUAGUAUCAUAUCUUGAAAGGUUAGCAUCUCAAGCGAUCGGUGUUGAUGACAUCCCAUUCCCAUUUAAAUGAAUCUUCAAAUUAGCUCUGGUUCAUAUUUGUCUAACAAUGUUGAAUCAUUCAUUGAAUAGUUUCACAAAGGUCAUGUACAAUUCCUGCUGAACUUGUUUUGGUUUUCUUUUGCUUAGGGAUGGAACGAGCGAAUCACAGUUCGACCAAGUCUUGAAUGAUGAAAUGAGCCAGAUCAUUCAGGUCUCUCUUGGUCAAUUUAAAUUUUCUUUCUAAUUCUUUCCUGGAAAUAGAAGAUGUUCAUAUCUAAAUUUUGUUAUAUCUAUAAAUACGUAUUUCAGGCCUGCAAGUUUCUUGAUGAGGGGUGGUCUCCAAAGUUCAUGGUAAUUGUAGCACAAAAGAAUCACCAUACAAAAUUCUUCCAGACCGGUUCUCCUCAUAAUGUUCCACCGGGUUAGUCAUUUUCCCAUCGCUGCAUGAAUUUUUGAACAGAAAACCAGAAGGAAAUGCACUUUCAGUAAUUGUCCCAUAAUCAGAAGUUUCCUUUCAUAACUUGAAUGCAGGGACUAUCAUUGACAGAACAGUUUGUCAUCCAACUAACAAUGAUUUCUACCUGUGUGCUCAUGCUGGGAUGAUUGUGAGUAUUCUUAAGAACCCGUUGCUCUUCUUAUGGAAGAUAAUAUACCUCAGCAGAUAAACUAGAGAAUGUGUUUCCUGCGAUGCAAGUUGGUCGUCCCCAGAACGAUUUUUAUCUGCUAAUUUAAUGGAAUCAAGAAAUUUUAACUUAUGUCUAAUAAUUUGUUUAGUGGAUUAUGUUUAUCUACUGUAACCAGCACAUAUUAUUGCUUGUCUACUCGACAUUGUUCUGCGUUUUGGAUUGUUUUACUCCGUAUAACUAUCUGAUUGAGCUACGUUGAAGAGAAAACAUUCAGUCGACUUUGGAUUGUUGAUGUAGGGGACUACACGACCUACUCAUUAUCAUGUUCUACUUGAUCAACUUGGCUAUUCAGCAGAUGACUUGCAAGAACUUGUUCACUCUUUAUCGUAUGUGUAAGUAUACUCAUAUUCUCGUUUUGCGUAAAAAAUCUUUGAAGUCGGGAAAAAUAGGUUCUGGUUAUGUUUUCCGAAGUAUGAGUUUGCUUCAGACCUGAAACCCUGCUAUAAUUUAUAUACAGGUUCCAAAGGAGUACCACAGCCAUAUCAGUAGGUAAUAUAUUCUCUUCCGGUUAUUUUUCCCUACUUUUUUUCUGCUUGGUGUAUGAUGAAGUUGUUGGUGGUUGCUGUUUUCUCUUUACUACAGUUGCUCCGAUACGCUAUGCUCAUCUGGCAGCCGCUCAGAUGUCGCAGUUCAUUGACUUCGAUGAAAUGUCGGAGACUUCCUCAAGCCGAGGUGGUAGUGUUACAGUAGCUGGUGGUGUGGCGGUGCCUGAAUUACCAAAGCUGCAUGAAGAUGUCAAGAACUACAUGUUCUUUUGUUGAAGAUAUUUUGGCCUUACAAUAGCAUAUGAACUCGUGUGAUAUUUAUGUUCAGAUACUAUUUCGGAAACUACUUGUGCCAUUUAUGUUUGACGUUCUUUACUUUCGUAAAUUUCCAGACAAACAAACAUUCAGAAUUUGUCCCUCUGAUACUUGUCAUAUAUGUCUUUGAUUAAGAAGACUGGUGCACCAUACGCGAGCUUUGCUCAAUUAAUUAAAUCUCAACCGUUCACUUGUGAAGAAAAAAUGUGCAAGUGAAAGUUUCUGACAGUUAGCUGUUUUCUCUUUACCACAGUCGAACCAGUACGCUGCGGCCAUAUUGGUAGCCGCUCAGAUGCAACGUCAGAGACUCCGUGAAGUGACGGUGGCGGAUCCAAGAAAUAAUAUUAGGGGGUCAGUAAGAAUGGUGCGCGCAACACGUAGAUUUUUUUUACCAAAAAUAGCAUGCAUAUCGCCAUUUCAUCGAGUCUUGGUAGACCCAAAGUCAUUUGGAAAGCCAUAUUGCACACCUGUUAAUGUAUGCAAGGUAUUCAUGGACAUUCAUUGGUUCUUGGUAGGCCUGAAGUCAAUUGAAGGGCAUGUAUGAAGCCAACUCUAAUCUUCAAAAGGGCAGCAUCCAAAAUAUCCCUGGACAUUCACCGAAGUUCGAAGGGUCAACAUCCAAGGUAUCCAUAGAUGUUCACCGAAGUUCAGGGGAUCAGCUAACACCCCCGGGGGGCCCCUCAAUGCAUCCGCCACUGGUGGUGGCAGUGUGGCAGCGCCAGAAUUCCGCAAGAUAAAUAAGAAUGUGAUGACCCCCAAUGUUUUUCUGUUGAAAAUAUUGGAUACCCUAUGGAUUUCAGAGGUCAUUUUUCCAAGAGUUAUUUCUGUCCUACCUUCUCUUCUUCAUAAACAUCUUCUGGGAAGAAUUGACAAUAGAAUGGUGACUCGGACUCCUUAUAAACCCAAACACGGUUUCUUAAACUUUCCGAUGUAGAACAAUUCUUAACAUCUCCACGGGAAUUUAUACAGCUCCAAUAAAGGAAUAAUACUAGGUACACCAAAUGAUGCGACAUCAAUCAAAUUUGUUCGUUAGAAUUUGAUUAAUAAUUGUAAUAAAAAUUUAUAUGAUGUAGAAUGUGCGACAUCAUUUAGCGCAUAAAUUUAAUGUACGUAGCACCACCCCGAAUAAAACCUGAAAAUGGCGCUUCGUGCCAACCCUCAACCCCUGAUGUCAAAGAGUCAUCACUUACCCUAACCAGAUAUAUUUGUACUACGAGUUAGUUUACUAGAACCAGAACCCGAACCCGAACCCCAGCAAAGAACAUGGUUUCCAAACGGCAUGGGUUGCAGCAGGCAGAGAGAGACCAUGAACACAACAAUUUCGAAAACAACUCUAAAAUUUUCUGGACAAGUCUUACAGACAAUUGAGUAAAAUGGUUCGACGAAAAUUCCUAACGAGACUAAUGUCACAAAGUGAAAAAAAAGGAAAGCACAAGCAGCUGGUGCAUAUAGAUACAAAUUUCAGAGUGGAGCUGAUGAUGUUCUCCGAAGCUGGUACUUUGGCUCCGGAGGCGGUGCACUGGGCAACACCUUCUCUAGCUCCUGCAACGACAGAAAGCAAUACGAAUAAGAUAUCUAUUAUAUAAAAAUAAACGAUAAUUUCUUUCGUUGCUAAUUUAAAAUUCAGAAAAUUCCCAAGCCUGGUCUGCGAAAUUUCUUUAUUUUCAAUUAUAUUUGAGUAAUGGAGAAAGAGAAAUGAUAUAGAAAAUGAUCGUUUAAUCAUGGCGUUAUCUCAACGUCGUGCAAAGUCAAGAACAAACUAGGCAACAAGUUUUCUACCAGCUUGGAAAAAUGGAAAGCAAGUUGAAUGCAAAGUGUAGAUAACAAAAGGAGGAAGUAGAUCCUCCAAAACAACACUAGUCCAAACUACGGAUGAAAAUUAAAAACUGGGACAUCUUAAGCAGCAUUCUUUUAAUUACAUAUGCGGGGGGAAACGAACAUUUUAUUAAGUAAAAUGGCAGUGGACAAGAAGUCCACUUCAAACACAAGCGAGAAGUCCAACAAAUGUAGCAUUUGGCUUCCCAACUAUCAUUUUAAGGUACAAUUCUGUUUGCACCAUUGCUGCCCAUUUUGAGUCCUCAAUGAAGUUAAAGUUUCUCCACUCUCUCUUCUAUAGUAAUUUCUAGGAGGUAAUUUGAGUUAACACGUGUCGGAAUGGGUUGCAUCACUAACAACUGGAACAGCAAGGCCCUAACAUGUGGGUAAUCCAGUCAUAUUUACAACUUAAAAAUUGGUGGCAUAUCAAUCCUUGCAAUCUUGCACUUUCACCAUAAUACUUGGACAUGAAAUCUUUUUUAUGGCCAAACUUUCAAAGAACCAAGUGCUCCUCAUAGGGAUAUCACUAGAGAUAUUAUUAUGCUAAAUGCUCAGACCCAUUCCCCAAACCUAAAGAAAAGUAGAAAAAUAAACCCACACACAAUUCUACACCUCAUCCACAAUCUAUCACCACUUUCCGAAAAAUCAUGCCAUGUCCAACUUUGUCCUUGAACUUGAACAUUCAUUAGCAACUAGGAGUACCUGCUUGUCAACAAAAGCAUUGAGGGAGCAGGAAACAAUCCCAAUAUUCAAGGUGGAACUAGUAGUAAGAACAUUCAUCGGCUACUACACAAACUACUACCUAAACUUACAACGCUAAAACUCUAAACUACUAACUCUGGAUCACAAGUCUUGAAAGCAUGUAGAGUAAAAACAUUGAUAAUAAGUCAUAACAUCACGGAAAAUUCAAUAGGGGUACCCAACAAUUUACUCAGUAUUUACCCACGCACCUUAUUUUCCCGAAACUUCCUAUCUUUACGAUUUGUAAAAGCUUAAGAGAGCAAAAACGAAAAAAAACUUUUUUAAAAAAUGAAAAGAAGUCUUCCCUGCCGGCUCCCCUGCCGUUGCAGGAAGGCACGCCGAUACCAGAGCCGGCAGCAGAAGCAGUUUAGUUUUUGUUUUCCUGUAAAAAAAGAUGAUGUUCAGAGGGUGAACGGAGGUUUUGGAGUUUACAUAAUAGUAGGUCGGUAUAGUAUGCAUUGUAGCAUACCUAUAGAAUUUCUUUCUGUAAGCAAACUCUAAUGUAUGAGGAAAAUAGCCAUAUACGGAAGCCAUCCAGACAGAGAGUCUGAUAUAUCUAAGCACAGGUAAAACUUCAUCUAGACAUUCAAAACUAUCUCCUCAGUUAGCUAACUAAUGGCCACAUGUAAAAGAGGGGGUGAAAAGGGAUGAGCCCCCAGCACCUUUAAGGUUGUAUAAUAGAACCAAAAAAAAUGCGCAACCCAUCAUCACCAAACUGUAAUGUAUCAGCUAUCAUGACCCAUAAACAGUGGUUUAUAUGGCAACCUGUGUGGACACCAUGCUUGUCCAUUACAUUUGGCGUACCAAACUGUUGCAUUUUAUCAUUUGUACUAGUCCGUAGUACAGGCCAAAUACUGGUACCGGCCAGAAUGAGUUUUUCUGGUAUUUACUAGGUUCAUAAAACUGAAAAAUACAGUAUUCCUGGUUCUUUCAUGAGUUUUUCUUUUUGCUUCUUAUGUUUCUAAUUUGUUGUAUAUUGGAUAAUGCCCCUUAGCAUUCUUCAUUCCUUCUAUAGAAUUUUCUUAAGGAAAAAAGAAUCAUGUUUUUCAAUCAUGCAGCUACCAAUCUGUAAUAUUAUCAAACUCUAGCUACUAAAUUACCAGUUAAACCUUUUAUAGAAUGGUUUUCAAACCUAUCCUAAUACCUACAUCACUAUUUCUCUACAAUCAAUGACUCUGCAUCAGAUUAAUCUGAUUUCAGCAGUAUGCCAAUAUCCAAAAUCAAGAAACAUAAUAAUCAUCCAUUGCAACCAUGAAUUUAUGUUAGCGGUGUCUGUGUGCGUUGGUCUCAAUUACCUACAGGCUUGUAUCUGAAUAAUUAAAUUUGAUGCAAAACAAACAACUUCCUACUACCAAAUGAAAGAAAAGAAGCCAACUUAGAUUAUCUCUUUUCUAACAAGGAAAUAAAAUGUUUUACUAAUUGCAGUUAUACUGAAGCAAGCUACAAUCAUCAGUCAACAAUUCAAGAUGUAUUAAAGAAAUCAAAUGAUGCAAAUACAAAUAUACAACAGACAAAAAGAAACCUGACCUUCUGUUUCCUUAGCCUUUCAUUUUCCUCCUCCAGACGUGAAACUUUGUUCUCCAGUUCAUUUGUAUAUGCCUGUUAACAGUUUACAAAAUUCAGCUAAAAUUGCAAAAAGAAAACCUUGUGGUGGACUUAUAAACCAAAAGAUAGGAAAUAUUGACCUGCUUCCUUGCUCGCGAACGCGCAGCAGAUUCCCGGUUCUUUAUCAUUCUCUUUUGCCUUCGCUCAACAGUCUUCUCAACAAUGUCCUCAGGGUUGCCCCUUUUCCUCCCAGGUGUCGGCGUAUCUGAUAGAGCACCCAUUAAGGGUGAAGGCAAUGGAACUUGGUUGUCAGGAUACGGGACUUCCAUCAUAGCUCCAGCCCCUACGUGCAUUGGCGGUGGUAUAGGUUGGCUUGGCAUGUAUACCCCCAUCAUACUUUGUUGUGGAUGCUGAUAUUGUGGUUGUGAGUACUGCAUCCACUGACCUUGUGGAAACUGUGCUGCCACAUUCGCAUCAACCCCAACAAGAGGACCAGCACAUUGUUUGUCCGAAGAUGCUUCAGCUUCAGCAACAACUCCGGCUUUGACCAAGAAAUCCUCCAAAGUCAUCUCUCCCAAAGUCCGUUGUCGUUCUUGAGAUUUCUUUUCUUCUUCGUCUUUGCUUUGUUGAAUAUCUCUCCAAACCUCAUCGACUGUCUUCUUGCUCAAUGCACUAGUUAAUGACAGGCUUGCUUGACGCUGCAGUUGAGCUUGAUUGACCAGUGUCGUGCCUUCAAUAUCUAUGCCCAUGGUCUGAUUUGCUUCCACACUCCAUACAUUUUUUAGAAGCUCAUCAAGGUUCAUGCUGCUGAGUGGCUUCCCCAAGUCACCUAACUGAUUCUGUACCUCAUCCAAUGUGAGACUGUACAUUGAGUUUUGCCGUCCCAAAGGCUGAAACUGUGGCUGUUUGCAAUUACCAUCAGCCCCACCUUGAGAUCCCAUUGUCUGUAUCCCCAUUCACCAAUUCUUAAUAAGAUAUUGUCAGUUACACUGAAAGUCUAAAUUUUCAAAUAUACAAAACGAUAACAUAGUUCAGCCUUAAACCCACAAGACGCAAUCUUCAAUCAACCUGAAUAUCAGAAACCUAUAUCAAAAAAACAUCGACGGUUCAGACUCUGAAUUUUCUAGUAUUUAACAAGAUCAUGGUCAAAAUACCAAGUAACUAGACGAAGAAUGACAACGACGGUGAGUACAUAUCAACAUGAUUUGCAAAUGAAUACAAAGUUGAAUGACGGUUAGAAUGAUUUCAUCAGUUCCAUGGAAUAAAACAUGGAGGCAUGCAAUCAGUAGAACCAUAAGCUGACAUUAACAAGAAGGAAAAAAUGAAGAGAAAAAAAAGAAGAAAAAAAAAGGCUAGAUUAAUGCCCAUAAAAUUACAGCUUUCCCCCUUAAAUGGAUAAGAAUUAAGAGCAGUCCAAUUUAUUCGAAAUAUAAACAAAAACCAAAAGAUUACCAACUUGCAAAUUCAACUCAAAAUCAUGAACCUCUAUAUAGAGAAAAAAGAAAUCUAAUAAACCAGGGUCUAAGUGAUUGAAACCCAAAUCUAAUCAAGCACAUAAAGAUAUUUAAAAGCAAAAAAGGUAAAAAUUAAGGGUCUAAACUAACAAGAGGAUUUGCCAGAAAAAGCUGUGAACUCUUGCAUGCAAGUGAUUGAAGGAGUUGCAGAGCCUCCAUUUGACCCAAUGCUUUCAAACCCUAAACCCACCAUCAAAAUCCCACAAAGAAAAACCCCAAAAAUCCAAUUUUCCCAGAAAAUCAAUGAGCAACACUAUGAAAAAUGAAAAAUGAAAAAUGAAAUUACCUUAUUCCUCCAAAAAGGAACAAAAUUUCACAUCACUUCACCACAGAAAACCCCAAAUCCCAGAAAUUCGAUUUGCAUGCAACAGAAAUAAGUGUGUUCUUAAAUAAAAUUAAUUAAUUAAACGAAGAAAAAAAUCACUGACCCAACUUCAUUCCCAAAUGCACGAAUGUUUAUCCUCAGGAAAAAAAACAAAAGUUCCAACAAAUUCAAUUUUUUACAAGAAGAAGAAUGACUGACUGAGAGGUCUGCCUGAAUAAGGAGCAUCGGAUACAUAUAUAUAUAUAUAUAGAGAGAGAGAGAGAGAGAGAGAGAGAGAGCACUCACUUUAGAGAGAGAGAGAGGGAGAGAGUCCGAUCUGAAUCGCAGGGAGAGUUUGGGUUGAAGAGAUUGCUGUUUGUUUGAGUGUUGAGGUUGGAAUUAUCAGCAGUAGCACUCACACAUACCAACUGUAUCUAUUUGUUUAAUGUAUCCAAUUUGCAGAAACACAAACAAAACUCAAAAAGCGCAGAGAGAGAGAGAGAGAGAGAGAGAGAGAGAGAGAGAGGAGAGAGAGGUUUCUGGCUUUCUGCAGAAACCAAAAAUUCCCAAAUUCAUUUUUAUAAAAUUUAGUGCUUUUUUUUCCUUGCUAGGGUCCUCUACUUGCGCCCUCAUGGCUUCAUUAUGGUCUUCCAAACUUGCUUGGACCCUUUAAAUGUUCAUGUACAUUCUCACUUGCUCUUAGAUUCGAUUUUAAAUGUGUAGAUUAAAUCGUGUUUUUAAUGUUUUAAUUUUAAAUUUGAUGUCAAAUUCAACUAUAGAUAUUAGGUAAUCAUGGAUUAUUAGUCACUAGGUGACCAAAUAAAUGUCACCGUCUAUAAAAGUUAUCCGAUAAGGUUUGACUAUGAUUGUCUGAUGAAACUUAUUCAAUUUAUCCUUAUUUUUAGUUUUCUUUGAUUUAUUUAACUUGUGUCUAAAAGAACUAAGAGAGUGCAAAAUCACUACAUUUUUUCAUACAAUGAGUGCUAUGUCUUAUUUUACAUAAUAACGAGAGUUAUGUCAGACAUCACAUAACCGAGCGUUAUAUCAGAUGUCACAUAACCAAACGUUAGGUUAGAAGUCACAUAACCGAGUGUUAUGUUUGAUGUCACGUAACCGAGCAUUAUGUUUUAGUCAUAUGGUUCGGAUCAAUUAAAAUUUUAAAGUUGUUUACUGGUUUUGAUAAUGAUUGUAAUUUUUUAGUUUGAACAAAAUAGAAAGUCAAAUAUUCGACCCCAAAAUUACCAAAAAGGAGAUUUACUUGUAUUGGCUGGAACGGUCGUCCCACAGAAAUAAGCGUGGGAAGGCAAGCAGGGGAGCAGGUGUGAAUGGAGUGAACUCAAUGAACGAGAGUUUUGUCCAAAAGUGAUUAAAACGCUGUGGAAGUGGGAUAUGCUUUGUAGGCACAAAAUCAAAUUAAAAAAUGAAAACUAAUGAAAAGGGCUUGAAAACUUUGAGUUUUAAUGAUAAGGACAAAAUAAAGGGUAAAAUGAAUAGUACCAUGAUUGACUUUUUAGUGUAAAAAUGUGGUUUUUCGCUAAAGUGAACAGUACCAGGUGUUUUUCGUUAAAGUUCCCAAUUAAAAACUCAAAUGCAACAGAUAACGGCCGCGUGGCACUCCAUGCUCCUGCUGCCUAUUUGUAAGAGAAAAAUUAAUAAAAAUAGUUUGAAAUUUUUGAGUUUUAACUAUAAAAAUAAAAUAAAGGAUAAAGUGAAUAGUACCAGGAUUGACUUUUUAGUGUAAAAAUGUGAAUUUUCGGUAACGUGAACAGUACCAUGACCUUUUCGUAAAGUUCUCAUUUGUAAGUUUUGCGUUUUCAGGACCUUUUCAAGACAUUUUUAAUUCUAUUUAUUCAUUUAUACGUACAUAUAUAUACAGUAGCGAUGGUUGUGGUAAUAGUAGUGGAAACGACGGUGAUGUAAUGUUGGUGGUUGUAGAGGUAUAUAGGUAGCAUGGAUAACAACGUUGGAUGGUGGUGUUAGUGAUGGCAAUGUUAAUGACGGUGUUAUGGUGGUGGUGUCAAUAGUGGGGUGUUGACGUUGAACGUGUAAAGAUAGCUAUGAUGGUAGGGACAAUGUUUGUGACAAUGAUGACAGUGGUAGCGGUUAGAUGUGGUGACAAUUGAGGUGAUGGUGGCAUUGGUAGGAAUUAUGGUGAUGAUGAUGUCGGCAACAAAGGUGGUGGUGGUGGCGUAAGGGUGGUGGUUGCAGUGUUAACUGGUGCAGUCACCUUGUUCCUCAAGGGAGAAAAGCAUGUGUACAAGGAUAAGCAAUGUCAUUUUCUAAAACUAAAUAGGUAUUAAAAGUAUUAAAGGUGAGUUUUGUUUUUUUUAUGAAAAUAGUUUUCAAAAGCAAUCUACAUGCGGCUUUUAAAAGCUACUGUCUAGAAGUCACUUUUUUUUUAAGAUAAGCUAAAUGUGAUGACCCGUUCCUACUUUUAUGAUUUUAUUAAUUUUAAAAGAGUGAAUGGACGAAAAUGCCCUUGAGACGAGAUUGUUGACCUUCAUUGACCGUCAAUUUGUGAAGUACUCGACCAGCUGUUAUUUUACCAUAUUCUCGAAGUACUCAACGAUACGAACGCGCGGGCACAACGGAUCUUAAUUCCGAGUUAGAACGAAGAAGUUACGAGCCUAAGAAGUAGUGAGACCUUUUAGACAUGUGGACCUACUAUUAGUAGUAAGUCUCUAUAAUUAGUCAGCCAAAUUAGGAAGUUUCCAUUUGAGGAAACUGACCCAAAAGCCCAAAAACCAAACCCAAACCCAAUUCGCGACCCAAUUGACCCCCGCGACCUCCCAUGUUCCAACGCCGAUUCCGGCCAACUCCGGUGGAGUUUUUCGACGCCACCACCACCAUCUUGAAGCCCUCACUCCCCUCUACAAAACCCAACCAAGAACCACCUUGAUUAACCACCGUACGUGGUGGUGCGAGGCCACAAAACCUAAUGAUAACCAAUGGUGCUCCGCCCACCCUUUUCCUUUUUUCGGUGAAUCGGCAAAGCGAUGGCCGAUGCCACCACUUGGGUUUUGUAGCCCAUCAUCCCAGGAGUAAAUCCUGACCAGCUUUGACCUCGUUGGACCAUCGUAGGCGACGAAUUGACGCCGAGAAGCUUUUGGCACCCACCGGCUUUAUCGGUAAAUUGAUCAUCUUCCGUCCAUUUUUGGACUUCAUGGCAGGUAUAAAACUUGUUCCUCUUGUUGAGCUCUAUCUUCCUGUAAAUUUUGGUAAAAUUUGGAGUUAGUAAAAAAAGUGAGUUUUCGGUCGUCGGAAACCACCACGUGCGGCGACACGGGACCAACGGGCUGACGCUACCUUUUUAAGUUAAAUUCGAUGUUCUGAUUUCAAUUUGAUAACCGUUUGAUAUUGUCACGUCCCGAUCCCAACAUACGUUGAAAAUCGACACGUGACAAAGAAAAUAAUGUUCGUUGAAUACGGUAUAAGUUACAGAAUGAAAUACUUUAACUGAAAACCCAAAAUAACGUGAAGGUGGCUAAGUUCUCCACAAAAUAUUUACAAAUAUGUACAUCCCAAAAAGAAGCAUAAUCUUUGUUUUACUAAGAACAAGUAUGAGGUGCUCAAAAGAAAGUCCCAAAAGAUAAAGUACAAGAGUGAAACAAGGGUAACCUAACGCUCCAAACCUCUGAUAACUGCACUGCUAUCCCCACCUACAAACUUCCCAGAGUCUACUUAAACCUGUCACCUUUAUGAUCAGUGCCUACACCAUCGGAAUGGUGCACUAGGCAAACAACAACCUGGAUAAGUUGUGAAGUUUAUGCGAGUGACAAUAAUAUCAAGUAUGUGAGAAUAAUGCUAAUGCCAACCAUCAAACACAAUUUACAUAUCUUGAAUAUAAAUCAUUCAUAAGAAAUCAAUACCAACUUUUGCAAACCCCGAAUGAGUCACCCAAACACCCAACGGUUCAUCUGAAACCAAUCACAACAUCUCACAACCAUCUUCUCAUACAACACAAUGAAAAGUAGAGUUAGAGCGACACAGUUUGACCGAAGCCUACCCCUUUGAAGGCAUCUCAAUUCAAAUUCAAUAAAUCCCAAGGUGAGUAAGAUCUCGGACCUUCACUCAAUGGAAUCGCGAAAUAGGAGGGAUUCCAGAUCAUCUCUCAAUGGAAUCCAAGUGGAUACAAUUCCGGACCCUCACUCAACGAAAUCGCUAAAUACAAUACGUAACAAUAACUAAAUGAAACCCAAUUUAGAUACGAUUCCGGAACAUCACUCAAAGGAAUCGCAAAAUAGAAGAGAUUUCGGACCAUCUUUCAACGGAAUCCGAGUGGAUACGAUUCCGGACCAUCACUCAACGGAAUCGCAGAAGACCAACAAUCAGAAUGUACGAUGGCUCAAAGAAAUGAGACAAGUACAUGCUACUUAAUUUACAAAAACUCAACAAAGGAAGGUUAGGCACAAUUACUAAAUUUAGAACCAAUCACCAAAGCGGAAGGUGAAACCAUAUCGAAGCAACAAAUCCCCAUCAUAAUGGUUAACGGUCAUUACUAGUCCUCACAUUAAUCUCAACAUGCCAAUCAUACAAAUCAAACCACAUUUCCAAUAUACAUGCCACACCCCAUUUUAUAAACAUAAAUUGAUGUCGAAGUAUUGGAAUAACAAUUCAAUAGAACAUAUUCAUAAACAAAUUCAUAUCCACACAGGAUCAUAAUUAUGACAACCUAGUAAUUACCAAUAUCACAUAUAUUAAAGUCACUCACCUGGAGUCCGUGCUAAUGUACCCUAGCACGAUAGUCAAGGCAUCACGUUCUAUCACCGCCUAACAAAGCACAAGUCCACAUUUAGAUUUCCUUCGAUAAUUCAUAUACUCAAAAAUUCUCAUAUGUCUCCCAUAACAACAUUUAAUGAGGAAUCGAACCGUCGUUCUAAUGAAGGGUCCAUGAUCUUACGUCAUUUGCUUCGUAAAAUCCAAUCACUAGAUUUUCACUUAUAAGUCCCUAAUGUCCUUAAACAAUCUACAAUAGCAUAUUAAAAUCUUGUCUCAAUUCAAUGAUAAGAUUGUCAAUUGUUAAAAUAAUCAAGUGGCAGACCUUAUCGAUAAUAUAUACAAUCAACAACAUUUUCAUAAAUCGAAUGUCACAUAUCGGAAAAUUCGACUUUUUCCAAAAAUUCUCAAAUUUUACAAGAAUGAAGAUUUCAACAAGUAGAGUAAACUUUAUACCUGUGGCCAAGUCCAAUUUGGCCAGGAAGGCCCUCAAACUGGCUCGCACCCAACGAAACCCUAAGGUGGGUGUUCUUCAAUUCGGCUUCCUUGGUGUUCCAACGCCCCAACCACCAAUUGGGUCUUGUUCUUGGGUCCAAGGGAAACUGAUUAAGGGUGAUGGUGAAUGGUGAUACUCUCCGGAAUGACAAUUCAUUGUCGAGAACCCCCUGGUUCUCCUAUGGAGUUCUACAUGAAAUAGACCUUAAAACCCUUGAUUUUUUUGUAGAGAGGGAAGGAGGAAGGUAGUGGAGCAAGUUGCAGGUGAAUGAGGCAGGACAAUCAGAAGAGAAAUGGUAGGAAUUGGCCUAACAUUGGCCGGUUUGAAAAUAAAAAGGGUUUGGUGGUGGUACACGGGUUCACCCAAUGGAAAAAGAAAAUGUCAACCUUUUCCUCCUUCAUAUUGAUCAUUUCUCCUCUUUAAAAAAAUCUGCUGGGUCCCCUUAAUAGUGGAUGCUGCCUAACCUUUUUCCACCACCUAAUUUGCCCAAUUCCACUUAUAAUAGCCGGUACGGUUUGCGUCUUUUACCCAUAAGUGGAAAAUAAAAUGAUUCCCACAAUCUAAAGUUUCACCACUUCAAAUGUCCGUAACUAUACCGUUAUAAUUCAGAUUUGCAAACGGCUUUCUCCUAUGCGUUUGUGGGUUCAAGAUUUAUUUAAAAACACUAGUUGUAACUUUGAAAUGUCAACGAAAGAUAAAGAUUGUUUAUGAAACUUCCAACUCGAUAACUAAUCAAUUACUAAACUUAUAAUUAGUACAAUUAAAAUUAACUAAUAAAGAUAACGUAAUCUCGAAAUACGAAUUUAAAUUACGAAAUACGUAAUAAAUGGUGAAAUUCCGGGGAUGGGAUUUCACAGAUAUAGUUCGAUAGUUUGAACCUAGUAUGGAAUACUACGCCACUUGACCAUUUCUUGAUUCGACGAUCCGACCAUUAGAUCGUCACUAAACCUUAAUAUGUUAUAGUACGUAAUAUUUGAGGACCAUAGGAACUGAUAAAUUGGGAAUCCGACGUACGGAUCUUCCAAAAUUGAAUUUCUAAGUUUGUAAAACAAACGUUGAUAGCAACCUAAUUCUAGCAAUUGGCAGGGAUCCGACCGUUGGAUCGUAAAAAAGUUUUAGUAUGUUGUUCUAGAAGCAUAGUGUGGACUACGGGAAGUUACGGAUUGGAAAUUCAUGGGCGAAUGUUCCAUGUUGACUUGUAUAAGGUUGUGGACCUCACCUUUGAUAGAGACUUGACUUUUGGACACUAUGCUAAGAAUUGAUCUCAAAUAUUAAAAUUAGUAUUACUAGAGAAUAUGUAGGGCUUAGUGGACCUAUAUUGAUUAGUGAGUUAUCCCAUAUAAUAUAUACAUCGGCUAACUUUUAGGCUUAACCGUUGACCUUUUGUAAAAUUUGACAGAGACAUUCCUUAGCGUAUUUCGACGCGCUGAUUCCGAAUCCACUGUCUGUUUUUCGAAAUUUGACCGUUUUAGGAUAGUUCCUUUAUUAGUCGUACGUUGUACGAAAACGGUUAAUUUCAUUAGCACAUUAUGUAAGAUCCCACAUCACCCAAGGGAGUGAUCCUUAUAUGUAUAUUCUCAUCCCUACCUAGCAUGAGGUCUUUUGAGAGCUCAUUGGCUUCGGGUUCCAUCGGAACUCCGAAGUUAAGUGAGUAGCGCGCGAGAGCAAUCCCAUGAUGGGUGACCCACUGGGAAGUUCUCGUGUGAGUUCCUAGAAACAAAACCUUGAAGGCGUAGUCGAGGCCUAAAGCGGACAAUAUCGUGCUACGGUGGUGGAGCGGGCCCGGGAUAUGGUGGACCCUGGGCCGGGAUGUCAGAUUGGUAUUAAAGCCUAACCCUGGCCAUGGUGUGCCGACGAGGUCGUCGGGCCUCUUAAGGGGGGUGGAUUGUAAGAUCCCACAUCGCCUAGGGGAGUGAUCCUUAUAUGUAUAUUCUCAUCCCUACCUAGCACAAGGCCUUUUGGGAGCUCAUUAGCUUUGGGUUCCAUCGGAACUCCGAAGUUAAGUAAGUAGCGCGCGAGAGCAAUCCCAUGAUGGGUGACCCACUAGGAAGUUUUCAUGUGAGUUCCUAGAAACAAAACCGUAAUGGCGUAGUCGGGGCCCAAAGCAGACAAUAUCGUGCUACGAUGGUAGAGCGGGCCCGAGAUAUGGUGGACCCCAGGUCGGGAUGUGACACGUUAUAUUUACCUAAAUGGUUUCAUUUCUAGGCGAAAUGGAUCGCAAGGACUCAGAGUCUGCAAAGAAACGGUCCAGCUACAUUUUAACCUUAAAUAUCCUCCAAAUCGGGCCUAUGAUAGCUUGUUUUGAAGAUCGGAACGUUCUGAACACAUUUUCAGAAGGCCACAAAUCCAUCAGAUCAUCUUGGGCUCCAAAAACGCAAUUCAAGCCCAACACGUCACUUUUCCAGCACCGUGCAUUGCUCUUUUAUUUUCUUGCCAGAAAAUAACCGUUUGGUGGAAAAAUCUGAUAUUUUGACAUGAUCAAGCUAAGUGACUCGCGAACGCCCUCCAACUAGAAUUACUCCAAAAUUCAUCCAUUUGAUCACAUUUUGCUCCAGAGGAAGUCAAAAGUUUUAUAUUGAAAAUACAAUUCACACUAUCAAAAUUAUUCCAAAAUAAUAACCAAAAUAUACUAAGAAUAGGGUUAAAUAUAUAAUAUAAAAUCUACUCAUCAAAAUACCCCCAAACUUAGCUUUUUGCUUGUCCUCAAGCAAAACAAAUCUAGAAAACAAAAAUAAAAGCUAAUGGACUAAAAACUUAAAUAAAACCUAGCUAAAACUUGAUGCUACGAGGCGGGUUCGACUAGGUGACAUGAUCUGUGAGUGGAUCGCAAGGACUCUUGAUGCUACGAGGCGGGUUCGACUAGGUGACAUGAUCUGUGAGUGGGUCUUUUCUUUGAUACAUACAUACAUAUAUAUAUAUACAUACAUAUAUAUAUAUAUAUAUACAUACAUACAUAUAUAUAUAUAUAUAUAUAUAUAUUGGUUAGUUUCCAUAUAUACAUUUGUAAACAAAUUCUCUACGUGAUGGCCAUGAUUAAAAUAACGUUUAUAAGAAAUGCCUUAUGGUUGGGAAAGUAUGAAAUAAUCAUACGGGAUACUCAGGUAAGCUUACUAUAAAGGGAUGCCUUAAUUAUAUUUAUGUUCAUGAAUAAUGUGAUGUUGACUAGAGUUAUUGAGUCAUUGUGGCAUGACUAUAUUUAAGUUAUUUGCUCAUCAUUCUUGCACCGAUGUUAGUACUCAUCCGGGUCAGGGCCAUUGUUUCACGUGUAUGUGCACAUUGCACUGUACACUCACCUUGGAUCCAUUGUAGCUAUUAGUCUUGUCGUACAAGUUGCAAUAGGCAACUCCGACUUGUAUGUGUUGCACAUAGCAUUAGUCUUCACGUGAUUGUAAUACUAGAGCGUAUAUUAUUAUUACACCCAGUCCGGUUCAUGUCAGAAUACCUUUGCAUGAACUUAUGUGCCAACAUGUGUCAAUGAGCACCAGAUAUGAUAUGUUGCUUAUGUGAGAUGUUGUGAUUAUGGAUGUCAUGCCCUUAUUUACGAGAUAUUGUGCCGUAAUAAAUUCUUGAGAUUUUGCAGGUUACGGUAAGUAUUCUCUUAUUAUACGUAGUAUGCAUAUUUUGGAUACUAUACUUGUUUUACAGUAAGGGGUUAUUAUGUUUUCAAAAAGGUUUUUACAAAUAUUUGUUUCUAGGACCACUCACCCUUAUUUUUCGCCCCUCCAGGUUUUAUUGCUAAACUUGCAUGUUGACGAGGAUUCUUAGCAAAUCUUGGUGUAGACAAUUACCUUCGAUGGUAUAAUUCUCACCCUAUCUUACUGUAUUGUACUUAUGCUCUGACAUCACGUGUGAAAUAGGUUCAUUCCCGCUCAUAGCGCACUCUUAUAUUUAGGCACUUCUAGGUUUAAAUUUAUUUACAUUUUCCACUACACUAAACUUUAUCGCUUCAUCACCUUCUAGGUGUCGGCCAAUACAGCUCGAUUUGGAUUUCCAAGUGAACAUUCCGGGUCAAGGUGUGUCACUAAAUAUUUUUUUAAACAAUCACUUUUUAUUGCUUAAUUUUAAAAUAAAGCAGUUUUUUUGUUUAAAAAAAACAGUAGAAAUCUAAUCAAUAAAAGGAUGCUUUAUUUUGUAAUAAUCUAAUUCUAAUUCGAAUUCAACUCUAUUUAAAUAUGAAUUGACAAGUUAAAUCUGAUUAUACGAAUGCGAUUUGAAUUCAAAAUCUAAUCAAUAAACUUAUGAAAUCUGGAUUAGACCGUUCUAACCCAAACGUUAUAGAUAUGUCUACUUACAGUGUCUACUAUACAUGGUUAUAGCUUCAUUUAUUUCAAUGAAAAUGACUUUAACGCUUCGUUUGUGUUCAUUUGCACUCCUUUCUUCUAAUAGUUUUCAAGGCGAAUCUAGACCAAAAAAAUAGAGAAAUGCAUAGGGAGAAAAUAGGAGUCAAAAUCAUUUCCCUUAGUUCAAACUAGCAAUCUCACACAUGGUAUGCGUGCGAAUCAAUUAUUGUUGAAGCGAUAAUAGGAAAAAGAAAAGGUUGGAAAGAAAAAUAGAUAUUUUAAUUAUUUAUAUACUAAGUUCUUACUACAUGCCUACGCGUUUUUUUUAAUUGUUUUACUUUAUUUUUAUUUACCUAUUUUAGAUAUUAUUGUGUUGAUAUUAAUUCGAUAUUAUGAAAGUUUCACCAAAUUAGUGUGCUCCCUUUAUAUAUAUAGACAAAUUAUAAAAAAUUUGUAAAAUCAGAACUUCACCUUUAUUAUAUAUAUUUUUUUAUUACAAGUAAUAUUAUUAAACUAAACAAGAAAGGAGAGAGUUUGAAACUCAAUGCGAUAGAUAGAGGUAAAAUUGUUGAUUUGUCAAAAUAGUUGAUAAGCAAGUGGUGGAUUGCCCUAUUGAAUAAGAUAUUCUUCAAUAAUUCAUUGCAUCAUUGGUUCAAGCUCAUCCUAUUUCCUUAGUAUAACUUAGAGUUGUAUUAUCGUUUGUAUAAAAUAAAAAAAAGUGGUUGAUAAGGAAAAGUUUACUUAAUUUAUCAUAAGAGAUUACAAAUCCACACUUGACAAUUUAAAAACUUUAGGUCGUCCAUUCAUUUGACAAUUAAAUAUUGUAGGUACCCUUUUUAUCUUUAUUUGGAAUCUUUUGUUGGGUGGGUUAGUCGGGUUGGACUUCAACCAGUUGGCCAACCCAAUAAGCUCGGGUUGACAUUAUUGAAAUUCAUUUCCACCCAAGAAAAUAGGUAAGUCAACUCACCUGAACCAUUCUAAGGCGGGUUGAGUUGGGCGGGUUUCACGGUUUGGGAUUAUUUACUUUCUUUCUUCUCCUGAAGGUGAGUAUGAUUGACAAAAAAUUCAAAUACAUAUCAUAUUUGGCUUAAAUCAUGUGAAUUUGGUGUUGCAUAAUCACUACUUGUUACUUGAUAUUUAAAUUCACUAUUGAAAUAACAAGUGUGUUUAAUAACUUUUAGAUUUAUAUGUAUUAAUUUGUAAUCUACAUGCAUGUUCAAGAAUUGUUAUUUGGGUAAGUUAGUUUUGUUCGAAUUAAUAACACUUCAACCCGACUCAACCCACAUAUUUAAUGGGUGGUCGGGUUAAUAAUACUACUUUCUAUGCUUGACAAUUGAUUUUGGAUACAAAAUCGUAUGUUUUCAGUGUUUGCAUCAACAGUGAGAAAGAUUUUUAAAGGUAUUCAAUAAAGAAUAAUACUUGGCUACUCAAAGAAUGAGUAGGAGUUCCUACUCAAAACUGUUCCUGUGACAUCCCACAUUGCCCAGAGGAGUGAUCCUUAAAUGUAAAUUCUCAUCCCUACCUAGCACGAGGCCUUUUAGGAGCUCACUGGCUUCGGGUUCCAUCGGAACUCCGAAUUUAAGCGAGUAGCGCGCGAGAGCACUCCCAUGAUGGGUGACCCACUAGGAAGUUCUUGUGUGAGUUCCCAAAAAUAAAACCGUGAGGGCGUAGUCGGGGCCCAAAACAAACAAUGUCGUGCUACGGUGGGGAAGUGGGCCCGGGAAGUGAUCCGCCCCGGGCCGGGAUGUGACAAUUGGUAUCAGAGCCAAUCACUGGCCGAAAGUGUGCCAAUGAGGACGUCGAGCCCCUAAGAGGGAUGGAUUGUGACAUCCCACAUCGCCCAGGGGAGUGAUCCUUAAAUGUAUAUUCUCAUCCCUACCUAGCACGAGGCCUUUUGGGAGCUCAUUGGCUUCGGGUUCCAUCGGAACUCCGAAGUUAAGCGAGUAGUGCGCGAGAGCACUCCCAUGAUGGGUGACCCACUUGGAAGUUCUCGUGUGAGUUCCCAAAAACAGAACCGUGAGGGCGUAGUCGGGGCCCAAAACGGACAAUAUCGUGCUACGGUGGUGGAGUGUGCCCUGGAAGUGAUCCGUCCCGGGCCGGGAUGUGACAGUUCCUUGCCGAUUUAUCAAAUUUCUUAUUUAUGACCAAAACCGUUCAUAUUAUAAAUCACCCUAUAAAGACCAGUUUUGCAGAAAAUGAAUUAAAACUAAGGCCAUUUAGUCAUCAAAUAGUAUAAAAACAUAUGAACGAAAUUGGUAAAAGUAUUACGAACCGUCUAUGUAUUUGCUACAAUAGAUGGACUAAACGAUCUUGUUUUUAAUUCACUUUUUGCAGAAAUGAUCUUUACAGAGUGAUUCAUAAUUACAGAGUGAUUCAUAAUAAGAAUAGUUUUGAUUAUAAGUACAAAACUUUGUGAUUCGAAUACGAAAAGUUUUAAGUAGGAGUUCAUACUCAUUUUUGAGUAGCUAAACAUUGUUUUUGCAUAGAUGGCUUCAAGACAAAAUCAUAUUAAGGACUUCAAGAUCCUUAAAAGGAGUGGAAAAGAUGCAGAUAUAAAUUUUAUAAUUCAUAAGUGAUUAAUAAAACACAAAGUUUGUACAAAUUAAAGAUUGAAGAUUUUACUUAGUCCAUAUGCAACAUCAACAAGUUCAAUUAGUAAACAAAUAUAUAAACAAGACAAAAGCAAUUGAAUCCACAAUGGCACAUGGCCAUGCAUUUGAAGCAUUACAUUUUGAGGAAAUUGUAGCAAUUGUCUCUCAACUUUAAUUUUAUUGGAAUGGUUUAUGAACUAAAAAUUUAUUACUAUUGGUCAUUUAACUCCACAAAAUGUGCAGUUAUGGUCUUUUUCGUCAACUCCAUCAGAACUUCCAUCAAAAUGAGUAAUGUUAGAAGAAUAAUUGCUACAAUAGGGUUAAAGUUGAGGAUCUAUUGCUCCAAUUGGAUAAAAGUUGACAGACCAUUGCUCUAAUUGGAUUAAAGUUGAGAGACCAUUUAUACAAUUUUCUCAUUUAGGUUUUCAUAUUUGCCUCUUGAUUCAAUCUCACGUACAUUACACAUGACUCAUUUUGACAGAAGUUUUAACGGAGUUGACGAAAUGAUCAUAGUUGCACGUUUUGAUGAGUUGAGGGACAAAUUAUCAUGAAUUUUUAUUUGAGGGAUCAGUGCUAUAAUUUUUUCUUAGAUUUUUAUUUAUUUCUUCUUUUAAAAGGAAAUUAGCUUGCGGCUUCACCAUCAUAAUUUAAUUUUUUGAGGGCUGAAAAGACUUACAAAGACAUUUUAGUCACAUCCUAACCAUUAUUGUGUGAUUUACAGAGGCAUUUAAAGCAUUAGAUUGAACUUUCAUAAACACACUAGAUGUUGAAAUACCAUUUGGGUGGUUUUUGGAGGAGAUUUUUAUAUAGUCCUAACUAAUUCAAGUUAGUGUGGUGAAAUCAUCAUUUUAGAUACAAAUAAAGAUGUUGAAACGCAUGCAAAACAUGAGAUCUCGAGGUGAUCAUCAUUUUUCAUCAUUUUUUAUUUGUGUUGUUAAUGGCGAAGAACCAGUCAUCAUAGAUGACAUGAUAAAGCUUUGCUGAAUGAUAUGUUAUUUGGUUUUAAGGCCUCAAAUUUUUAGGGUAUCAGUGGCAAUUUGAUCCACAAGUGCUCCAUAUCAUUCCGUUUGUGUUGUUCACCUAGACGUUAAAGAGCGUGUGAGAAUGUGAGACAAAUUUCAUAUCAAUAAGGGACCAUGCAAGAACUUAUGUUGAUCUAUUCCUUAUAUUGCCAAUUAAUUUUGGAUAAAUUACAUAAUAACCCAUCAGGUUUGAGGUCUAUUAUAACCUCAUACAACAUCUUUAAAAUAUUUCACUUUCAUACCUUAUGUACUAUUUUAUUUCAAUUUCAUACAUCCGUUACAUUUUCCAUCCAUUGAUCCGUUAAAUGCUAACGUGGUUGCCAAAUGUGUGCAACGUGGCAAAAUUUAAAUUUUUUUUUUAAAACUAAAUCUUUUAAAUAUAAAAAAAAAAAAAAAUAAAAAUAAAAACUAAAACCUUAUUCCCCUCAUCCUCCUAUCUUCUCCCCGCAACCCCCAAACCUCUCCCCCAUCUUCAUCUUUUUCCCUACAACCCAGAAAGAAAAAAAAAAAACCCUCUUCAGUUUGUCUUUCCCCCCUUUCCCCCUCUAUUCUCCCCCAUUUUCAUCUUCUUCCCCCGACCCCCUACUUGCAACCCAGGAAAAAAAAAAACCCAGAUCCCGUCUCGCCAUCGCCGAGUUCGUGGAACGGGUGUGGAUUUAAGGAGUGGGGGGUGUUUAGAGGAGAGUAGGGGUGUGUAGAGAGGAGAAAAAGGUGGGUGGUGGGGUUGCGGAUGAGAGAAGGGAUGGGGUCGGGUUCUGGGUGACCUACAUCGCGGGGGGAUGGGGGUUCUGGGUUGACCUGCAUCGCGGGGGGAGGGGGUUCUGGGUUGACCUGCAUCGCGCCGCAGGGGGGGGGCUGGGGUGGCUGGGGUGACAAGCAUUGCACCAGGGAUAUGGGUUUUGGGGGAUAUAGGGUUACGGGGAUCUGAGGGACAGAUCUGGGCUUUUGUUUUUUGGGGGGGGGGGGGUGGCAAUAGGUUUUUUUUUUAAUAUAUAUAUAUAUAGAAAAUUUAGGUUUUUUUAAUUAAAAAUUAUUAUUUUUGCCACGUGGUGUGUCACGUUGGCAGGCACGUCAGCACUUAACAGAUUAAUGGAUGAAAAAUGUAACGGAUGUAUGUAAUUGAAAUAAAAUAGUACUUAAGGUAUGAAAGUGAAAUGUUUUAAAAAUGUUGUAUGAGGUUGUAAUAGACCUCAAACAUGAAGGGUUACUAUGUAAUUUACCCAUUAAUUUAUACAAAAACCUCAACUUUCUUAUGUGAUAAACAAAAGUCUAAUUAUCACACGCGUACCCAUAAAAAUUUAUUCAUCAAAAUCACAAGAGAGCAUGGCCUGAUAACCAAGUAUAAUAAUACAAUCACAUGAAAACUUAUAAAUGUUUUUUAACCGAUUAUAUUAGUUGGUGCAGCAAGCUGCAAGGAAAGAGAUCAUCUUCGAAUCUCUUCUACCAAAACCACUAAAUCAAGUGAUCCGGACCAUUAAAAUUUGAUUAAACCAUUAAAGUUAUUAUAACUUUUAAAGAACUCAUGUUUUUAACCGUUGAAUCAAAUUUUAAGGACCUAUAUCCCUUAAUUUGGUGGCUUUGAUGAAAGAGAUCAUGAAAGAAUCUCCUUUCGUGCAGCAUCACUAUAUUCUCAAACAUAAAAAAAAGUUUUAACAAACAGAAAAACUAAUGAAAAUGAUUUGAAAAUUUUGAGUUUUAACGAUAAGGACAAAAUAAAAUAUAAAAUAAAUAGUAUUAGGAUUGACUUUUUAGUAUAAAAUAUGAUUUUUUAUUAAAGUAAACAGUACCGAGUACCGAGUUUUUCGUUAAAAUUUCUUGACAAGCUCAUAUCCCAAACUUGCCACAGUCGAAAGAGAUUCAAACACCAAAGCGCCCAAAACCGUCGCGCCGGUUCGCCCAAAUUCCUAAUUUCUCAUUCUUUUGUUUCUUAAAUUUCUGUCAGAUCGCUCGAUCUCUAAUUGGCUCAAUCAUUUCAAAUCAAGCCCAAAAUUCCCCCCUUAUCUUCUAAAUUUUUGCUUUCCCCCAUUUUCCCUCGUUUUCAAUCCUCAACUUUUCAAUUCAAAUUUUUUUGAUCUAAUCCAAGAAAACCCAAUUCUCAAAUCCAAUGUCGGCGUCGACCGUUUCAAUAACGGCGAACCCGGCGACGACUCGGCGGCGACACGUCGUGGCCGUCGAUAAGAAGACAUCCAACAUCGAGCUUGUCUCCGCCGAACCCCAAACCCACAAAGCCGACGACACCGCCACCAAUUCCAAAGAUCUCAGCCACCAUUCCAUCAGAGGCGAACCGGGUCUUGACCGGUCCGCUCAACCCAAGAAAACCGGCCCCAAUUCCACCAUUUCGCCGCCUUCCAAUCGCCGCUCUCGCAAAACCCUAGACGCUGAUCCCAAGCCUCGAUGGGUCACCGUCCUCCGAAUCGUUUCCAAGAACUUAAUUCUGCUUGUUCUGAUUGUGGGUUUGUUUCAGAUAGUCAGGAGACUUGCUCUUGGGCCUGGUGUAGCGGUUCCCAUGGCUUUUUCGGAUUUGGAAGGCCGAAUAGCGGAGGUGGAAGCGUUUAUGAAGACCACUACGAAGAUGGUUCAGGUUCAAGUGGAGGUUGUGGACCGGAAGAUUGAGAGCGAGGUCGGAGGGUUAAGGAGAGAAAUGGAGAAGAAGAUAGAGGAUAAAGGGGUUGCGUUGGAGAGUGAUUUGAGGAAAUUGGAGGCCAAGAAUGAAGGGUUGGAGAGGUCGGUGAGCGAUUUGAGAAGCGUGGAGUGGUUGUCGAAGCAAGAGUUUGAAAACGUGUAUGAGGAUUUGAAGAAGAAGGUGAAGAGCAGUGAAGAUAGCGUAUUGGGUGCGACUUUGGAUGACAUAAGGGCCUAUGCGAGGAAUGUGGUUGAGAAAGAGAUAGAAAAGCACGCGGCGGAUGGACUUGGCAGGGUGGAUUAUGCUUUGGCCACUGGUGGGGCUUCCGUUGUGAAGCAUUCAGAGCCAUAUUUGGUGGGGAAAGGGGGAAAUUGGUUCUUGAAGAGUUCCAAAAAUGGGGUGCAUAGCGAUGCUGACAAGAUGUUGAAACCCAGUUUUGGUGAACCUGGCCAUUGUUUUCCCUUGAAGGGGAGUAGUGGAUUUGUCCAGAUUAAGCUGCGGACUGCCAUCAUUCCCGAGGCUAUCACUCUGGAACAUGUUGCAAAGGUGAUGCUCUUGUUCACUAUUUUGUCUUUGUUAGUUCAUGCAUUGUUUCAGUGUAUUUUAUCUUUUGUAUUUGUUAUGCUGGAUAUAAUUUAACUUCCGUCAAUCUUCCCGUUAAGAAGUAGCUUUGAACCAUCAAAGUAAUAAAUUCAAUAAAAUGUAGGCAUUGUUUUAAGAUUUUUCAAAGGUCUGUUGGUAUUAUCUUGCAGGCAAUAAUAUGCUAGGAAAUGUGGGAUUGAAAUGUAUAGUCAAUAACCUUCAUGCAAGAGUAUAUCUAUUGUAGUUAUUGUUCUCAGAAAUUUGAAGUGUUUACCCUAUUGGUACCAAGUUGUUUCGGUUAUUAGUUAUGUUGACAGUUAGACUACAAAAUGGUAUGCUAGGCAGAUUCAGUUCUUAAUUUUGUAGCAUGUUAGAUAGUUAAUUUGUUGGUGAUAGUUAAUGUGUUUGUCAUUCUAUACAGCAUUGUUAGGCACUAGGCAGCUGACCACUGUCCCGAUUAAUGCCUAGGCAUUUGAAAAUUAAGAAAGGGCACCUAGAUCUGCUAGGCACCUGGUUAGCCCGCCUUGACCUGCCUAGGUUGCGACUCACUUAGACAAAAAAUAGAUAACUUUCAUUUUGCAUUUUAUUUUUCUCAAUAAAUUGUAAGAGACAUGUUGAAUACUUAAAUGAACACACAUUAUAUGCUUGUUCCCCAUUUUUUCAUUAUGUUCCAAUACUUCAUAAUAUACAUGUCAUUCUAUUUUGUAGUUUACGAUGAAAUUAUACAUAUUUUAAGUAUAAACAAACACUUAUUUACACGAAGCCGCCUUGGCGCCCGCUUAAGCCCCGCCUAGCCGCGCCCCAGCCCGCCGCCCGACUAGCGCCUAGCGUCUUUUAGAACCUUACCAUAUAGCAUGUAACUUUGAAUUUGCAGAAUUUCUGGGACGGGUUGAGAAGUAGUCUAAUCUAGGUGAAUUAUCUUUAGGCUGGGUUUAUUUUACCUUAGGUUGAACAGGCUAUGCCUGCGUAUGUCUUGCCUCCCUAGGCCCUGCCUUAGUGGAAGCCUAAUGCUCUGGGGUGUUUGUCAAGAGAGAUAAAAUGGUUGUCAAUUUAGUAGAGCUGUCUGAUUUUUUGUUGAAGACUCACCUUCAUUAGGUCUAAAGUGGUUCCAUAUCUACAACAACAACAACAACAACAAAGCCUUUUCCCACUAAGUGGGGUCGGCUAUAUGAAUCCUAGAACGCCAUUGCGCUCGGUUUUGUGUCAUGUCCUCCGUUAGAUCCAAGUACUCUAAGUCUUUUCUUAGAGUCUCUUCCAAAGUUUUCCUACGUCUUCCUCUACCCCUUCUGCCCUGAACCUCUGUCCCGUAGUCAUAUCUUCGAACCGGAGCGUCAGUCGGCCUUCUUUGAAAAAAAAAAAAAAGACAUGUAUUACACUGAAGGCUGUAUUAUGAGACAGAUACACGAGGCAGAAGGGUUUUGGACCUGUGAAUCUCUCACAAAAAGUGACAAGUUUCAUUGCAUUUAUAUUCUCAUUUGAAAUCCUUUGCUAUCUCUGCUAUUAGUUUGUUGAUGGGCAGCUUUCAUCUGCUUCUACUUUAAGCAAUGUGGUAUGCUAUCACAGCGUUGAUUUGUAUGUAGUUUUAUGUGCUGACUUAUAAUUUAUACUAAUAUAAAAUGUCAAAACAUAGCUGCUGGUUUUGCAUCAUAAAUCUCUAAAGCCUUUGUAGUUAAAAUAAAAUUAACAAUACAUGGAGCAAUCUCUAACUUGGUUUGCAAACUAGUUCCACAACUGAAACCCUUUGAACCUACGGAAUGGGCUUUAAUCAUGUCUUUUUUCCUACUAUUUUUUGGAGGGUUUGGUCGCAUGCUCUUAAUUAUAUUAAUAUUUUCAAGUCUCCAUAUUUUGUUUAAGAAGUCUAUGUUGGUUUUGAAUAGUAGGCUGAUAAAACUGAAACAGAGUUAUUACUUUUAUGAAUUUUAGUUGAGGUAGGCUGUUUACGCUCUUUGCCUCUGGAUUCAUGUGGUAAAAAGAUAUGAUAGAGUUGUAUAUGCACUUUUCUGACAAGAAAAACCUUUGAUUCUUCUUGUCUGUUUGCUAUUAUGCACAAGGUUGUUGGCGUCCUAACUGGAAUAUGUUUGCAAGUUUAUUUGAUUUCUUUAAUGGACAAACUAGAGUGCUUAUGUUACCUUUAUUUAACUGAUUUAAGGAUAAUAUAUGGAAAUGGUGCGUCUGAAAAGAAACAUGUUUGAUUUGGCAGAUAACAUGUUUGAUAACUUAUGUUAGUUAUGGUAGGUGACAGGAAAGAUUCAGAAACCAGCCUCUAUUUGCUUAUCGUAGGAUGACUUGGGUUGUAAAAUUAGGAGAUCUGUAGACUUAAGCAGCAAGCAAAUAGGAAAGGAUUGAACCAGCAGAAUCCUCUAGUUGUUACACUGGACUGAUGUGGAUCAUGAAUCCUACUAUGAACUGGAACUCAUAAUUUAAUCAGUGCAUAAAAAAGGUCAAAUAAUUUAUUAGAAACUUUUUUUCUCUAAAUAAGUAAUGUUGCCCAGGAAACACUUAGUAGACAAGCAGAAUUUCUUAAUUUCUAGUGUGUGUAUGUCUGUCCUGUUUUAAAUGCCUUCCAGUGCCAGUUAUGUAUGGUUCUGGUCGCCUAUUCUUUAUACAUGUGGUCUUGUGAUGUAAACUAGACCCUAAAUUCUAUUGGGCAGGAUAUUUUGGUUUAACUGGAGAUUAAAUUAAGACUAAGGUGUUGCAAUGAACUUUAGUUGUAAGGCGGCACCAUAUUAAGUAUGUGAAAAUGUUAGUCUUUGGGUACAUUUUUCUGAAUUUUUCUUUUACUAUUUUAGAAUGUAUUUUGAUUCUCCGUCUUUUUCCAGUCCCUACUGGACCAAAUAAUUGCCGUUCUGAUUAGUUAUAUAAACAAUUUACAUAUUCCCUCUGUCUUGUGGUCUGGCAUGGCAAAAUUGGUUGCAGAUAUUGUAGUUACUUCUGCCAGUAUCUGUCAUGGUUUGCUUUCCUUAUGUUUAGAAAGCAUUACUAUAAUUAUCUUUUGUUAACAUGUGUUGUUUUCUGUGUUAUUUGGUUACUAGCAAGGACCUCCAUUAAAAAAGAAAAGAACCUGAAUAGUCUUACUGAUUUUAUAACUAUGCGCUGAAAUUAACUUUUACAAUAAAUAUUUGACCUGCUUGUAUACUUCCUUCGCAAAGCAACUCCUUAGGAUUACUUUGAGUUACUUCUAUGGCGUGAUCACUUUGUUGCUUUAAUUGCACCAGUAGCAUCUUUCCCUGUCAAAAUCUUUUCUGACUUGAGUUCACCAUCAUUGCAUUCGUUCUCUGUGUGUUUGAGCACCUCUUUGUGCUAGUUUUUCUUUUGAUUGUGUUGAUUGGUAGCGUCCUUAAUAUAUGCUAACAUAGUAACAUAUCUGUUUUUAUUUUCAAACAGAGCGUUGCUUAUGACAGAUCGAGUGCUCCUAAGGACUGCAGGAUCUCUGGGUGGCUGCGAGGACAGGAUGAUCCAGAAGUCUAUACAGAGAUUCGCCUGGUUGAAUUUACUUAUGACCUUGAGAAAAGCAAUGCACAGACAUUCAAUGUCUUGGACUCGGCAGUGUCUGGCCUUGUCGACACAGUGAGGUUGGACUUCACAUCCAACCAUGGAAGCCCUUCUCAUACUUGCAUAUAUCGAUUGAGAGUGCACGGACAUGAACCAAACGCCGUUUCUAUGAUGGCCAUGCAGCAGUAGCGUCAGUGCCAUUCCAUACCAUACUUGUGCAGAAGCAUUCUCGGGCCACGUUUGUAUUAAGUAUGAAUUCAUUUUCUCUCCCUUUAAUUUGUAACUUGGUAGGUAGAGAUCUUGUGGUAUGUUUCUAGAGUUCUCGAUAUCGUGUAUUGUCUCUGUGACAUUUUAGUGUUAUCUAGUAAUUGUGUAUCCAUGUACUGUUAGGUGUAUGUCAUUUUCUCUGUGUUUUCCUCUCCAUGCGCUCAGUAAUGAUAUCAGGCACGGGCUACAGAUAUAGAAGCAGAGAUUUUUCUAAAUUUCGAGUAUAUUUUGGAGUAUUAUUAUGGUUUGUCAUUUUUUUUAUUUGUGUUUGUUUCUGCAUGCUUAUUGUUCCAUUGAUGCGAAAGAGUACUUGACCUCAGACCUCACGAAGGUGGUUCCUCCCCCUACGGAGGAGCUUCUUCACUUCCGAGUUUGGGCGCCCCCUUGAACUGAUAUGUUUUACUUUUCGUCUUGAUGACAAAAAUUUACUUCAGAAAUUUAAUGGUAAUCUUAUUCUUUCGCAUGCGGUCAAAAUUCCAACAAAGUUUUAACGAGACCACAUGUAAACACUCUACCCUCUUUCAUUAUCAAAACCCUAAAUAAAUAAAUAAAACCGUUGAUUUACGAUGCAAGGUUGAAUGAUCAAUAUCUAAGUCUUGUAAUAAUCUAAGUAUGUUGUUGUUUUCUUUCAUUCACUUGCUAAAAUGUUUCACUUAUCUCAAUCUCUUUUUAUGUAAAACUUGGGGAAAUGGAUACCCAAACUAAAUACAAGAGUAACUUUUGUAAGAAAGUCUGAAAAAUUGGUAUAAAACAUAAAACAACUUUUUAGCGUGUAAAUAAAAUGACUAGGGGUGAGAAAUUUCGCCAUAAACCAAUUUACUGAUCAAACCAUAUCUGUCGGUUUAUAAUGGUAUGGUAUAGUUUUGGCAUUUUUUCAUACUCGGUUGGCAUUAUACUGAACCGACAAUUAAGGGUAUGACUUUGGUAUUGGAUUUUGUAUACCGAUGGUAUGCCAUGCCUACCAAUAUAUAUAUAUAUAUAUAUAUAUAUAUAUAUAUAUAUAUAUAUUCUAUUUAUAUAUAUUUCUAUUUAUAUAUUUUAUGUAUUUUUUACAUGCUUGACAUGUGAAGAACUGGAAAAAUGUAAGUAAUGCUAUUUUUUUUCUUCUAAUUCUAAUUAUAGUACUUCAAUCCAAUGUUUAUUGAUAUUUUUAAUUUAUUAUUCAAUAUUUCUUCUUAUUCUAAUCAUACUUUUUUAUGUAACAUUUGAAUUGAAAUAGUUGAUGGUUCUACAUCUCAAGCAGGAAUAUCAAUUUCAAGUGCUUCAAAGAAUUGAUUCAUGGAACAUUUCACAUGCAUUGGUUACUGCUACUUCAGUGAUAUUGCAUUAUCAAAACAAGAAGUUAUUUGUUUUGGGAUUAUAAUAAGGGGAUCUUAUAACCAGAAAUUUUGAGUUUUGAGUUUUUUGUUUAUACAAUAGUUGCUACAAUUGAAUUUAGACAAUUAUAUUAGUUAGACUUUUGAGUUUGUGAACUUAUAACUAUUUGGAUUAUGUUUGCUGACAUUGUUGUUGGCUUAUUAAGUUUUGAUUUGAUUUCCAUUUUAAUUUGUUAAGUCAUGAUUAUAUUGGCUUAUCAUCAAUUGAAAAAUUGUAGCAGCAACUUCUUUUUCUCUUUUCUGGUUUGUUGUUUACAUGUCGGUACAUGGUCUUGAGCUAUUGUUUUUGUAGCUUAUUUGCAAACUAUCGGUUAUGCCAUUUACCAAUCGAACCAGCCAAUAAUUUUGGUUGAACUGAUUUUUGGCAAUCGAAAGAAGACGGUUGGUUAGCGGUAACUGAUUUUUGGUAAUUAUAUAUAUAUGGUUGGCAAGUGGCACAAAGAAUUAGCACGGAUUCAGCUCUUAUCUUCUUUUGUCAUCCCUUAGUUUCAAACACCCUUAAACCUCUAAACCUCGUGAUGUUUUACUGCAGUUUCUCUUUGUUGGGUGUUUAGUUCCGUUAUCUUUUUUAUCUUGUUUUCACAAGGUUAUUCAUCGGCGAAUAAACAUCUUAUUAAUGUUAAUUUGAGAUUUUUCUUUCUUGUAAAAAAAAAAACUUGUUUUGGCGAGGUUAUUCUAAUAUUCAAUAUUUUUCUUCUAUGUAAAAAAAAAAAAAAAAAAAAAUUUAAAAAGAUGGAGGUUGGGGUUGAAGAGGGGAGACCUACGGUGGUAAGAGCCCCCCGUUGCUCUGAUUAAGUCAACGGGGUUUCCCUUAGAAGUGAACCUUCUCUCUGAGGGUCCAGAACUCUGCCAGCUUCUUUUUUCAGCGGCGGAAGGUCUGUUUUUUCAGCGGCGGAAGGUCUGUAAGCAACGUCCCUUGUCAAACAAGGCGGAAUGAAAAGACCAUUGCGCUUGCUUCAGGGCGGGCUUCUUAUCAAACCCAAGCGCGCUUUUCAAAACCAAGCGCGCGAACACCUGUGUCAGGUGCCGUCCAGGGUGGACGAGCGAUCAGGCCAUAAAUGCCACGACUGCGCUAUAGGUCUGGCCCGCCCUUCUUAUAACCCCUUCCAACCAUCCUUAAUGCCCCCACAUGGGUCACAAGUUCACGUGACUGAACUCAGCAAUUACAAUUGCACGGGUCAACUAUAUAAAAGGAUACGUUUCUGAUUACCUGGUCGAUGUGGGACUAACAAAACAAGUCCGCACUUCACAUAUUAACGUGAAUCUGCUCUCUCUCUAAUCUGCGGACUGCCAUCAUUCCCGAGGCUAUCACUCUGGAACAUGUUGCAAAGGUAAUGCUCUUGUUCACUAUUUUGUCUUUUGUUUGUUCAUGCAUUGUUUCAGUGUAUUUUAUCUUUUUUGUAUUUGUUAUGCUGGAUAUAAUUUAACUUCCGUCAAUCUUCACAUUAAGAAGUAGCUUUGAACCAUCAAAGUAAUAAAUUCAAUAAAAUGUAGACAUUAUUUUAAGAUUUUUCAAGGGUCUGUUGGUAUUAUCUUGCAGGCAAUAAUAUGCUAGGAAAUGUGGGAUUGAAAUGUAUAGUCAAUAACCUUCAUGCAAGAGUAUAUCUAUUGUAGUUACUGUUCUCAGAAAUUUGAAGUGUUUACCCUAUUGGUACCAAGUUGUUUCGGUUAUUAGUUAUACUGACAUCCGAUUAAUGUCUAGGCAUUUGAAAAUUAAAAAAAGGCACCUAGAUUUGCUAGGCACCAGCCUAACCCGCCCAGACCCGCCUAGAUUAUGACUUACUUAGACAAAAAAUAGAUAACUUUCAUUUUGCAUUUUAUUUUUCUCAGUAAAUUGUAAGAGACUUGUUGAAUACUUAAAUGAACUCACAUUAUAUGCUUAUUCUCCAGUUUUUUCAUUAUGUUGCCAUACUUCAUAAUACAUAUGUUAUUCUAUUUUGGAGUUUAUGAUGAAAUUAUAUAUAUUUUAAGUAUAAAUUAUAAACAAACACUUAUUUACAUGAAAUAUAAUGGAUUUACUUAAAUUCGCCUAGUCUGCCUUGGCGCCCGCCUAAGCUCCGCCUAGGUGCUAGAUCCCAACCUGCCUAUAUAGCAUGUAACUUUGAAUUUGCAGAAUUUCUGAGAGGGGUUGAGAAGUAGUCUAAUCUAGGUGAAUUAUCUUUAGGCGGAUUUUUUUUACCUUGGGUAGAACAGGCUAUGCCUGCGUAUGUCUUGCCCUCCCUAAGCCCUGCCUUAGCGGAAGCCUAAUGCUCUGGGAUGUUUGUCAAGAUAGUUAAAAUGGUUGUCAAUUUAGUAGAGCUAUCUGAUUUUUUGCUGUAUUAUGAUGCAGAUACACGAGGCAGAAGGGUUUUGGACUUGUGACAGCUCGUUUGAAUGUGCUUUUAAAAUAAUUGAAAGCAUUUUCGGUAAAAAUAUUUUUACAACCAAUCUUUAGUAAAAAUGCAAGUAAAUUUAAAAAAAAACACUUAAUGUGUUUCCUAGAAGAAGCACAUAACUAGUGAUUCUUGCAUAAAACACUUUAAAUGCUUUUGGAACUCAAAAACAUUUUUUCUAAAAGUAUUUUUUAGUUAUUUUAAAGCACAUCAAAACGAGUCAUGAAUCUCUCACAAAAAGUGACAAUUUUCAUUGCAUUUAUAUUCUCAUUUGAAAUCCUUUGCUAUCUCUGCUAUUAGUUUGUUGAUGGGCAGCUUUCAUUUGCUUCUACUUUAAGCAAUGUGGUAUGCUAUCACAGCGUUGAUUCGUACGUAGUUUUAUGUGCUGACUUACAAUGUUUUUUAUAUUGUGUAAUCUAUACUAAUAUAAAAUGUCAAAAUAUAGCGGCUGGUUUUACAUCAUAUAUCUCUAAAGCCUUUGUAGUUAAAAUAAAAUUAACAAUACAUGGAGUAAUCUCAAACUUUGUGUGGUUGUGUGUGUGUUUGCAUCAUGGUCUAAAAUAUCCAUAAUAUCCCGAUAUUUCCAUCGAAAUUUCCGUAUUUUUGGACUAUCGAUAUUUCCGAUAUCAUCGAUAUUUUAGACCUUGCUAAGUCACUCAUGUAUCUUACCAUGCAAUGUAUAAAGUGUAAAAUAUUGUACUAAUUCAUUAUAUAUAAAUGAUUAUGGUGUGUUUAAACUUCUUUCAUUAAUUACUAUAUAUUUUCUACACUCACAAUGUUUGCCAGCUCGCUAUAUAAUCAACUUAAAUAAGUUAUAUCUAUCAUGCAAUGCAUUUCCUUCCAAUUUUUUGUGAUAAACUAAUAGAUAAUUGACUAAAUAAGCAUUUUGCAAAGUUUCAAUAAAAAAUUUCAAGUUUUGCUUACAAUUUAUGUGGUUUUUGUUCAAUUUUUAUCGAUAUCGAUAAUAUUCCCAUCGAAAUUUCCGUGUUUUUAGACUACCGAUAUUUCCGAUAUCAUCGAUAUUUUAUAUAUUGGUUUGCGCACUUGUAUUUUAAAGGAUCUCUAACUUGGUUUGCAAACUAGUUGUGACAACUGAAACCCUGUGAACCUACGGAAUGGGCUUUAAUCAUGUCUUUUUUCCUACUAUAUUUUUUGAGGGUUUGGUCACAUGCUCUUAAUUAUUUAAUAUUUUCAAGUCUCCAUAUUUUAUUUAAGAAGUCUAUGUUGGUUUUGAAUAGUAGGCUGAUAAAACUGAAACAGAGUUAUUACUUUUAGAGAACUUUAACGAAAAAUUCUUCGCAUUUGGAUUCGUGUGUUUAAAAGAUAUGAUAGAGUUGUAUGUGUACUUUUCUGACAACAAAAACCUUUGAUUCUUCUUGUCUGCUUGCUAUUAUGCACAAGGUUGUUUAGUUUUGACCUGGCGUCCUAACUGGAAUAUGUUUGCAAGUUUAUUUGAUUUCUUUAAUGGACAAACUAGAGUGCUUAUGUUACCUUUAUUUAACUGAUUUAAGUAUAAUAUAUGGAAAUGGUACGUCUGAAAAGAAACAUGUUUGAUUUGGCAGUUAACAUGUUUGAUAACAUAUGUUAGUUAUAUAAACAAUUGCCGUUCUGAUUAGUUAAAUAAACAAUUUACAUAUUCCCUCUGUCUUAUGGUUUGGCAUGGUAAAAUUGGUUGCAAAUAUUGUAGUUACUUCUGCCAAUAUCUGUCAUGGUUUUGCUUUCUGCAUGUUUAGAAAGCAUUACUAUAAUUAUCUUUUGUUAAACAUGCGUUGUUUUCUAUGUUAUUUGGUUAGUGGCAAGGACCUCCAUUAAGAAAGAAAAGAAACUGAAUAGUCUUACUGAUUUUAUAACUAUACUCUGAAUUUAACUUUGUGUACAAUAAUUCUUUGACCUGCUUGUAUACUUCCUUUGCAAAGCAACUCCCUGGGAUUAGUUCGAGAUAUUUUUAUGACGUGAUUGUAACAUCCCACAUCGUCCAAGGGAAUUGAUCCUCUAUGCCUUAUAUAUACAUGCUCACCUCUAAUUAGCACGAGGUUUUUUGGGAGCUCACUGAUUUCAUAUUCAAUCGGAACUCCGAGGUUAAGCGAGUUCGCACGAGAGCAAUCCCAAGAUGGGUGACUCAUUGGGAAGUUCUCAUGUGAGUUCCCAGAAACAAUACCGUGAGGGCAUGCUCGGGGCCCAAAACGAACAAUAUCGUGCUAUGGCGGAGUCGAGCUCAGAAUAUGGUGGAGCGGGGUCAGGAUGCGACAGUGAUCACUCUGUUGCUUUUAUUGCAUCAAUAGCAUCUAUUGGAUGUUGGAGUAUCAUGGCAUGUGAACCAGCUAUCAUGAAAAGGCAUUUUCCCCUCUCAAAAUCUUUUCUGACUUGAGUUCACCAUCAUUGCGUUUGUUCUCUGUGUGUUUUGAGCACCUCUUUGUGCUUGUUUUUCUUUUGAUUUUGUUUGUGUUGAUUGGUAGCGUCCUUAAAAAUAUGCUAACAUAGUAACAUAUCUGUUUUUAUUUUCAAACAGAGCGUUGCUUAUGACAGAUCGAGUGCUCCUAAGGACUGCAGGAUCUCUGGGUGGCUGCGAGGACGGGAUGAUCCAGAAGUCCAUAUAGAAAUUCGCCUGGCUGAAUUUACUUAUGACCUUGAGAAAAGCAAUGCACAGACAUUCAAUGUCUUGGACUCGGCAGUGUCUGGCCUUGUCGACACAGUGAGGUUGGACUUCACAUCCAACCAUGGAAGCCCUUCUCAUACUUGCAUAUAUAGAUUCAGAGUGCACGGACAUGAACCGAACGCCGUUUCUACGAUGGCCAUGCAGCAGUAGCGUCAGUGCCAUUCCAUACCAUACUUGUGCAGAAGCAUUCUCGGGCCACGUCUGUAUUAAGUAUGAAUUCAUUUUUUUCUCCUUUUAAUUUGUAACUUGGUAGGUCGAGAUCUUGUGGUAUGUUUCUAGAGUUCUCGAUAUCGUGUAUCGUCUCUUUGACAUUUUUGUGUUAUCUAGUAAUUGUGUAUCCAUGUAUUGCUAGUUGCAGUGACGAAUCCAGGAAAUAAUAUUAGGGGUUAGUAAGAAUAGUGCGUGCAACGCGAAAUUUUUUUUAUACUAGAAAUAGCAUGCAUAUUGUCAUUUCAUCGAGUCUUGGUAAGCCUGAAGUCAUUUGAAAAUGCAUACUACAGACAUGUUAAUGUAAGCAAGGGGCAGCACCCAAGGUAUUCAUGGACAUUUAUCAGGUUUUGGUAGGCCUGAAGUCGGUUGGAGGGCAAGUAUGAAGCCAACUCUAAUCUUCAAAAAGGCAACACUCAAGGUAUCCAUGGACAUUCACCGAAGUUCGGAGGAUCAACACUUAGGUGUCUAUGGACGUUCAUCGAAGUUCAGAGGGUCAGCUGACCCCCUUGCCCCUUAAUGGAUCCGCCAGUGGCUAGUUGUAUGUCAUUCUCUCUGUGUUUCCCUCUCUAUGCGCGCCCAGUAAUGAAAUCAGGCAAGGUUACAGGUAAAGAAACAGAGAAUUUUCUAAAUUUCGAAGUAUUAUUAUGGUUUGCCAUUGAUGUGAAAGAGUACUUGACCUUGGACCUCACGAAGGCGGUUCCUCCCCCUAUGGAGGAGAUUCUUCACUUUCGGGGCUGGGCGCUCCCUCGAACUGAUAUGUUUUAGUUUUCGUCUUGGUGACAAAAAUUUACUUUAGAAAUUUAAUGGUACUCUUUCUCUUUUGCACGCAAUCGAAAUCCCAUCAAAGUUUUCACGAGAUCAUAUGUAAACACUCUACCCUCUUUCAUUAUCAAAACCCUAAAUAAAAUAAAAAAAUCCAUUGAUUUCUUUCAUUCAUUUGCUAAAAUGUUUCACUUAUUUCAAGCUCUUUUAUGUAAAACUUGGGGAAAUGGAUACGCAAACCAAAUACAUGAGCAUUUAAAAGAGGAUAUAUAGAGUAACUUUUGAACUGUUCAUCAUAAGAUGAAUUUUGUGAUUUUGUAAAUAAUGAACUGACUAAUUUAAGUUCCUCGUGUUUUGUUGCUCCAAUAUUUUUAUUAAAGGAUGCUACAAUUCACAACCUCGAAUUCGAAGGAUUUACAUAAAUCUUUUUUUCUUGUAGACAUUGGGAAACUAUAAGCAGACGUGUACACACAGACAGGAUAAAAGCAUAUCCAACAGCCUAGUUAAAUGAGGUUUUUUGGCUACUUUAACAAAAACAAAAAAAUGCAAAAAAACAAUAAGCUUCAACAGGCUAGCUAAAUGACUAGCUUAUCUUAUUCGUCGAGAUAUGCUUCUCCUGCUGGGCAUUUAAAAGUAAGAGAUUAUUUGGUUGCUAAUUUGUGAUUUCACUUAAUACACCUAGCUCAGAGAAAAAUCCAAGUUAUUACAAAGGUCACUAUAUUUAGAUAUAUUCGUUGAUAUGCGUUCUCAUCUAUGUAUUUUUUCUCCUUUACGGGCUGUCAAAGUCCCAUCGAAGUUUUAAUGAGACCACGUAUAAACACUCUACCCUCUUUCAUUUUGAAACCCUAGAUAAAUAAAUAAAUUCAUUGAAUUACAAUACAACGUUCGACGACCAAUUUCUAGUUCUUCAAUAGUAUUUAGUUUUUAUUUUUUCUUUUUAAGUUUUUAAAUUUUUUUUAACUUUAAAUGAGGGUGGAAUUGGACUUCAAGGAGUUAAAAAUUAAUAAUAAUCUCCGUAUGUUUUUGUUUUAUUUCAUUGACUUGCUAAAAAGUUUCAUUUAUCUCAAGGCCUUCGAUAUAAAACUUGGAGGAAAUGAAUACCCAAACUAAAUACACACGACUGAAAAAAUUGGUAUGAAAUAUAAAAGAACUCACGAUCGCUUAAGAACUUUUUAGCGUGUAAAUAAAAUGACAAUGAAGCCUACUAAUAUAUGAAGCUUAUAGGAUGUAGAAAAGAAAAAGAAAAAUUAUAAACGUCAAAAUAAAUAGAAUAUAUGAUAAUAAUGGUAAACUAUAAUUGCUGCUUAAAAUAUUUUGGUGGGUGAAAGCAAAUGUGUUUCUACACUAGAAAUGGAAUUGUGAGCCCUUUCAUGUUCAUCUUAAGAUGAAUUUUGUAGCUGAUAAAUUGACUAAUUUGAGUUCACUGCAUUCUGUUAGUCCAAUAUUUCGAUCUAACUCUCAUCUUCUGUCAUCAUCCCUUAGUUUCAAACAUUGCUAAAUCUCUAAACCUCGUGACGUUUUAUUGUAAUUUCUCUUUGUUGAGUGUUUGAAAAAAAAAAAUUUAAAACGGGGGGGACCUACGGUGGUAAGAGCAAAAGAGAUGGAGGUUGGGUUUGGAGAAGGGUUGGCCGGGGGGGGGGGGACCUAUAUGGUGGUAAGAGCCCCCCGUUGCUCUGAUAAAGUCAGCGGGGUUUCUUCUCAGAGUGACCUCCGAGGUACUAAACAUCCCUUUACAAGGCGGAAUGAAGACAGACAGCGGCAGCCGGAAGAAUUUGCUCGUCGGCGGCCAGGAACAUCGCGCUUCAGGGCGGGCUUCUUAUCAACCACGCGCGCGUACACCUGUGUCAGGUAAUUGACUUAGGUGCGCGUAGGUUUUGGUUCGACCCACUCCUUAAUGCCCCCACUUGGGUCACAAGUUUACGUGACUGAACUCGGCAAAUCGAUGUGGGACUAAGAAAACAAGUCCACACUUCACAUAUUAACGUGAAUCUCUCUCCUCUAUCUGCUCUCUCAUCUCUCUCGUUCUCUUUCUCUCUAAUCUCCCUCCUUUCCGAUCCUCUUUUUGAAACCGUUGCUUAAAUAUAUGCUGACUUAUCUGUUUUUGUUUUCAAACAGAGCGUUGCUUAUGACAAAUCGAGUGCUCAUAAGGACUGCAGGAUCUCUGGGUGGCUGCGAAGACGGGAUGAUCCAGAAGUCUAUACAGUGAUUCGCCUGGCUGAAUUUACUUAUGACCUUGAGAAAAGCAAUGCACAGACAUUCAAUGUCUUGGACCCGGCAGUGUCUGGCCUUGUCGACACAGUGAGGUUGGGCUUCACAUCCAACCAUGGAAGCCCUUCUCAUACUUGCAUAUAUCGAUUGAGAGUGCACGGACAUGAACCGAACGUCGUUUCUAUGAUGGCCAUGCAACAGUAGCGUCAGUGCCAUUCCAUACCAUACUCGUGCAGAGGCAUCUCGGGCCACGUCUGUUUUAAGUAUGAAUUCAUUUUUUCUCCUUUUAAUUUGUAACUUGGUAGGUAGAGAUCUUGUGGUAUGUUUCUCGAGUUCUCGAUAUCGUGUUUGUCUCUUUGACAUUUUAGUGUUAUCCGGUAAUUGUGUAUCCACGUAUUGUUAGGUGUAUGUCAUUUUCCCUUUCUUUUCCUCUCUAUGCGCUCAGUAAUGAAAUCAGGCACAGGUUACAGGUAUAGAAACAGAGAAUUUUCCAAAUUUCGAGGAGACAAAAAUUUACUUUAGAAAUUUAAUGGUACUCUUUUUCUUUCACAUAUGGUCAAAAUUCCAUCAAAAUUUUCACGAGAUCACAUGUAAACAUUCUACUCUCUUUCAUUAUCAAAACCCUAAAUAAAUAAAUAAAAUCCAUUGAUUUACGAUACAAGGUUGAUUGACAAUAUCUAAGUCUUCUAAUAAUCUCAGUAUGUUUUUGUUUUCUUUCAUUCAUUUGCAAAAUGUUUCACUUAUCUCAAGCUCUUUUAUGUAAAACUUGGGGAAAUGGAUACCCAAACUAAAUACAUGAGUAUUUAAAAGAGGUUAUUAAAUAAAAGGGAUAUUUUGGAUGCAGCCCCUAAUCCUUAACAUUCUUUGAUUAAAAAUAUUCAAAGUUUGAUCAAGGUCCCUUGACUUUGUACACCUCAUUAUAUCACUAUUAAUAUUUAUAGUUUUAUAGUUUUUACAUUAAUUGUUUGAUAUUUUAUGAGAUUUUAAAAUCCCUCAUUAUAAUACUAUUAGAAAUGGUUACAAUAAAAAAAUUCAAACAUUUUGAUUGAAUAAAUGGAUAAAAACUAUAAAAAUAAUAAAUGGAAAAAUAAUGUAUCCAUAGUGUUAAAAAAAUUGGUACAUUUUACAAACAAAUUGGUACAUUUCUCAUAUAACAAAGUGGUACAUUAAUAAAGAAGAAUGGGUACAUUAGAAAUAAAUUAGGGUACAAAUAAAAUAUUAAAAAUUAUGAAUACAAAUGAAUUUUUAAAAAUAUAGGCUCUAAAAGAAAUUAAUACAUGGGUACAAAAUGAAACUAAAAAGAAAAUACUACAAAUUUUAAAAAAAAAUGUUGCAAAUUAAAAGUGGGUACAAACUAAAAAUAUAAAUACAUGAUACAAAGUUUAGGCAUAAAACAUAAAUAUACCAUAUGUAAUUUUUCUAUCAUUGAUUAAAUGUCACGUGAUAGUAUACACAUGGGUACAAACACAAAUAAAACUUUAAAAAAUAUGGGCACAAAAAGAAACUAAUAUAUGGGUACAAAUUAAAAAUGAAAAGAAAAUUGGCACAAAUUUAAAAAUAUUUGCAAAUUAAAAAUAGGUACAAACUAAAAAUAAAAAUAUAUGAUAAAAAAUUUAGCCAUAAAUAUAAAUAUACUAAUUGUAACAUUUUUAUCAUUAAAGGAAUAUAUUUAAAAAUAAAAAUAUUUUAUUAUUCAAAUAAUUAAUGAUGUUAUUAAUACCCAAGGACAUUGAUCAAAAAUUGAAAAUAAAUAGGAUUUUAAUCAAUGGAGUAACAAAAAGAAAGAUGUGAACCUAAUUUUCCGUAAUGGUAAACUAUAACUGCUGCUUAAAAUAUUAGGAAAACUAAUGAAAAAGGCUUGAAAACUUUGAGUUUUAACGAUAAGGACAAAAUAAAGGGUAAAGUGAAUAGUACCAUGUGUUGACUUUUUAGUGUAAAAAUAUGGUUUUUCGUUAAAGUGAACAGUACCGCAGGCUUUUCGUUAAAACUCCCUAAAAUAUUUUGGUGGGUGAAAUCGAAUGUGUUUCUACACUAGAAAUGGAAUUGUGAGCUCUUUCAUGUUCAUCAUAAGUUGAAUCCUAGAGCAGAUGAAUUGACUAAUUUGAGUUCACUGCAUUUUUGUUAGUCGAAUAUUUGUAUCGAACUCUUUAUCUUUUGUUGUCGUCCCUUAAUUUCCAGUAACCUCGUGAUGUUUUAUUGCAUUUUCUCUUUGUUGGGUGUUUAGUCCUGUUAUCUUUUUUAACUUGUUUUGGCGAGGUUAUUCAUCGCGCGAAUAAACAUCUUAUUAUGAUAAUUUGAGAUUUUUCGUUGUGAAAAAAAAAAAAAAAAGAUGGAGGUAGGGGUCAAAGAGGGGGUACCAACGGGGUAAGAGCCCCCCGUUGCUCUGAUUUAGUCAACGGGGUUUUCCCUCUGCCAGCUUUUUUUUUUUUUUUUAAGCGGUGGAAGGACUGAUAUCUUUUUUAACUUGUUUUGGCGAGGUUAUUCAUCGCGCGAAUAAACAUCUUAUUAUGAUAAUUUGAGAUUUUUCGUUGUGAAAAAAAAAAAAAAAAAAAAAUGGAGGUAGGGGUCAAAGAGGGGGUACCAACGGGGUAAGAGCCCCCCGUUGCUCUGAUUUAGUCAACGGGGUUUUCCCUCUGCCAGCUUUUUUUUUAUUUUUUUAAGCGGUGGAAGGACUGAUCAACGUCCCUUUAACAAGGCGGAAUGAAGACAGUUAUUAGCCGGCCAACCGGCCCAUAACAAACAUCGCGCUUCAGGGCGGGCUUCUUAUCAACCGCGCGCGCCACCACCUGAGACAGAUGUGCCGUCCAAGGUGGACGAUCGACAAACGCCUACAUAUCGAGUAGGGUUGAUUGCCUCGGGUGCAUGAUUGGUUUGACCCGCUCUUCUUAAAACCCCUCCCAACCAUCCUUAAUGCCCCCACAUGGGUCACAAGUUCACGUGACUAAACUCGGCAAU
rnacentral:lncRNA from 1 species